rnacentral:lncRNA from 1 species
UUGAAAUCUACGGCUAUUGAAGAAUUGCCUGAAUCCAUUGGUUCUUUGAAGGAGCUCAAGACUCUAGAUGCCUCUUAUUGCAAAUCGUUAGCCCACAUACCCAAUUCAAUAGGCAAUUUAACAUCUCUGUCUUACCUUGACCUGAAUGAAUGCCAUAAACUUGUUCAACUUCCAGACUCUAUAGGCUCCCUCGUGUCCUUGCUGUGGUUGUUAUUAUCGGGAUGCCAUUCGUUGAAACAAAUUCCAGACUCGAUCGGAAAGUUGACAUCAUUGACGGAGCUGAAUUUGAAAUCUACGGCCAUUGAAGAAUUACCUGAAUCCAUUGGUUCUUUGAAGGAGCUCAAGACUCUAGAUGCCUCUUAUUGCAAAUCGUUAGCCCAUAUACCCAACUCAAUAGGCAAUUUAACAUCUCUGUCUCACCUUGACCUGAAUGAAUGCCAAAAACUUGCUCAACUUCCAGAAUCCAUAGGCUCCCUUGUGUAUCUACAGUGGUUGUUAUUGUCAGGAUGCCACUCGUUAAGACAAAUCCCAGACUCGAUCGGAAAGUUGACAUCAUGAUAAAGCUGGAUUUGAAAUCUACGGCCAUUGAAGAAUUACCUGAAUCCAUUGGUUCUUUGAAGGAGCUCAAGACUCUAGAUGCCUCUUAUUGCAAAUCGUUAGCCCACAUACCCAACUCAAUAGGCAAUUUAACAUCUCUGUCUCACCUUGACCUGAAUGAAUGCCAAAAACUUGCUCAACUUCCAGAAUCCAUAGGCUCCCUUGUGUAUCUACAGUGGUUGUUAUUGUCAGGAUGCCACUCGUUAAGACAAAUCCCAGACUCGAUCGGAAAGUUGACAUCAUUGAUAGAGCUGGAUUUGAAAUCUACGGCCAUUGAAGAAUUACCUGAAUCCAUUGGUUCUUUGAAGGAACUCAAGACUCUAGAUGCCUCUUAUUGCAAAUCGUUAGCCCACAUACCCAAUUCAAUAGGCAAUUUAACAUCUCUGUCUUACCUUGACCUGAAUGAAUGCCAUAAACUUGCUCAACUUCCAGACUCUAUAGGCUUCCUCGUGUAUCUACCGCGGUUGUUAUUGUCAGGAUGCCACUCGUUGAGACAAAUCCCAGACUCGAUCGGAAAGUUGACAUCAUUGACAGAGCUGCAUUUGAAAUCUACGACCAUUGAAAAAUUACCUGAAUCUAUUGGUUCUUUGAAGGAGCUCAAGACUCUAGAUGCCUCUUAUUGCAAAUCGUUAGCCCAUAUACCCAACUCAAUAGGCAAUUUAACAUCUUUGUCUUCCCUUGACCUGAAUGAAUGCCAAAAACUUGUUCAACUUCCAGACUCUNNNNNNNNNNNNNNNNNNNNNNNNNNNNNNNNNNNNNNNNNNNNNNNNNNNNNNNNNNNNNNNNNNNNNNNNNNNNNNNNNNNNNNNNNNNNNNNNNNNNNNNNNNNNNNNNNNNNNNNNNNNNNNNNNNNNNNNNNNNNNNNNNNNNNNNNNNNNNNNNNNNNNNNNNNNNNNNNNNNCUUAUUGCAAUCGUUAGCCCACAUACCCACACUCACACAGACAUUUAAACUCUCUGUCUCACCUUGAACAGAAUGAAUGCCAAAAACUUGCUCAACUUCCAGAAUCCAUAGGCUCCCUUGUGUAUCUACAAUGGUUGUCAUUAUCCAAAUGCCACUCAUUGAGACAAAUUCCGAAUUUGAUUGGAAAGUUGAUAUCAUUGACAGAGCUACAUUUGAAAUUUAUGGCCAUUGAAGAAUUACCUGAAUCCAUUGGUUCUUUGAAUGAGCUCAAGACUUUAGAUGCCUCUUAUUGCAAAUCGUUAGCCCGCAUACCUAACUCAAUAGGCAAUUCAACAUCUCUGUCUUGCCUUGACCUAACGGAAUGCCAUAAACUUGCUCAACUUCCAGACUCUAUAGGCUUCCUCGUGUAUCUACCACGGUUGUUAUUGUCGGGAUGCCACUCAUUGAGACAAAUCCCAGACUUGAUCGGAAAGUUGACAUCAUUGAUAGAGCUGCAUUUGAAAUCUACGGCCAUUGAAGAAUUACCUGAAUCCAUCGGUUCUUUGAAGGAGCUCAAGAUUCUAGAUGCCUCUUAUUGCAAAUCGUUAGCCCACAUACCCAACUCAAUAGGCAAUUUAACAUCUCUGUCUCACCUUGACCUAAAUGAAUGCCAAAAACUUGCUCAACUUCCAGACUCCAUAGGCUCCCUUGUGUGCUUGCCGCGGUUGUUAUUGUCGGGAUGCCACUUGUUGAAACAAAUUCCAGACUCGAUCGGAAAGUUGACAUCAUUGACUGAGCUACAUUUGAAAUGUACGGCCAUUGAAGAAUUACCUGAAUCUAUUGGUUCUUUGAAGGAGCUCAAGACUCUAGAUGCCUCUUAUUGCAAAUCGUUAGCCCAUAUACCCAACUCAAUAGGCAAUUUAACAUCUUUGUCUUCCCUUGACCUGAAUGAAUGCCAAAAACUUGCUCAACUUCCAGACUCCAUAGGCUCCCUCGUGUCCUUGUUGCGGUUGUUAUUAUCGGGAUGCCAUUCGUUGAAACAAAUUCCAGACUCGAUCGGAAAGUUGACAUUAUUGAUUGAGUUACAUUUGAAAUCUACGCCAUUGAAGAAUUACCUAAAAGCAUUAANNNNNNNNNNNNNNNNNNNNNNNNNNNNNNNNNNNNNNNNNNNNNNNNNNNNNNNNNNNNNNNNNNNNNNNNNNNNNNNNNNNNNNNNNNNNNNNNNNNNNNNNNNNNNNNNNNNNNNNNNNNNNNNNNNNNNNNNNNNNNNNNNNNNNNNNNNNNNNNNNNNNNNNNNNNNNNNNNNNNNNNNNNNNNNNNNNNNNNNNNNNNNNNNNNNNNNNNNNNNNNNNNNNNNNNNCAAUCCUGCAUUCCUGAAUUUUUCUCACUAAACUUUCUCAAGAGACUCACUCUUUCUAACUGGCUUAAAUGUCUCUCAAACCUUUCUAUAACAUGUUAUAGAAAAGCUAUGAAACUUGAUUUUGUAUCUUACAAAAGUUCGAGCUGUUAGUUGGGCAUUUUAUUUACCUUUUGUCUUGUGAUACAGUUCUCUUAAAGCGUUUCAAGACUCCUCCUGCCAACAACUUAGCCAUGGACUACCAAACAACAGAUGAACAUCCUUUGAAGAGAUCAAAACCUUUUGGAAUCUCAAAUGAAGUACUUAUUUCAUUUUGCUUUUUCUUUGCCGUUCUUCAGUUAUUAAAGGAUGGUUCCAUCUACAAAGAGAAGUAUUUUACUGAAUGAUCAAUUAUUUGUUAUGUGUGGAAUGCUUUGAUCAACAUUCGUAACUAGAUCCAUCAAACUUGUUACAUUCUCGCUAUUUUAAGUCUUUUGUUCUGGAAGUAGGGAUUUUAGUUUUCUUGAAUUAUGAAGUUAAGGUGGAAUAUAUUGCCCGUUCUCUUGUGUUUCUCUCUCUUAAUUAUCUUUAUUUGCACGCCAUUGAUCGAAAACUUUUUGAAAGCGCACUCAUUUGGGUGCUAUUGCGGCAUAUGAUCAUGCAUUGAGAAUCUUCACGAGUGUAGGGGUUAUCUCACAUCAGUUGUGGAAGGAAAAAGUAGUUAGUUUAUAAUUGUGAUGGAAAGUCUCAUCCUUUAAGUUAGCUUUUAAGAUGAGAUAAGCCCAAGACCACCCAACAAAAAAAAACUUUUAGUUUUGAGGUUUCUAGAUACCCUUAAUCUUCAUGAUGUUAACCUAAUGAAAUUAUUGAAGAUUGGAAGGAUAACAAGAAAGUUUGAUGGAGAGAGAAAGGAGCAAAAGGGCUAGGGUUGUCAAUUUGUGUCCUCUUGUCAUAAUUGUGUUUGUGAUUGUGUCAAUUCAUCAUGACUUCUAUUAGACAUGUCAACCCAUUGAAUUAGAUGAAAACAUGUAAAUAUCUCAUCAAGUUAAAUGUAUCGUGAUGUGUCAUAUUGGGUUGUGUUUGUGUUUUUCGUGUUUGGUAUUGUUAUGUAAACAGUAUGUGUCACUAUUGGCAGCAUUAAUGAGAAGCGUGGACUGGAUAGGUGUUGAUUAUGUCUCCUCCCAUCAUGCAUGCAUUGUGCUCACGUAUGCUAGUACAAGAGGGGCUCUCAUAUGAGUCUUUUGCAUCUUUUGAGUGCCAUGGUUUUGAUCAAUUUUCUAAAGGACUCAUUAGUUUUGUAAUCUUCAUGACUUUCUAAUAGGUGAAUAAUUUGCCGGGAAAGAUUUUUCCCAUUACAUACAACUACCAGAGCUUUGGUCAGAGUUCUUAUUCUUCAGAUGACUUGCCUAGAAAUGUAGUCGUUACCCUAAGUCAUGAUUCACUUGUUAAAAGUAUGGAUUUCCAUCCAGUGCAACAAAUUCUACUGCUCGGUUAGCACUUCUUUCUUACUCUAUGAAGAACUUGUUUCUUGAUCUUCUUUAGUUGGAUAUACUUGUUGGCCAUAAGUUUGUGUUUUGGUGCUUGGAAGAUUCCUGUUUGUUGUUUUUUAUGCUCGCUUCAGCUAUUUGAAACCAAGGGAUAUGAUUCUUCAAAUUUUCUGCAUCAAUAAUUUUUAGUGGGAACAAAUACGGGUGAUGUCAUGGUAUGGGAAGUAAGCAACCGUGCAAGGAUUGCUUUGAGAAAAUUCAAGGUUUGGAAUUUGGGAACACGUUCAAUGGCGUUGCAGGUAUAUAAGUUCCACUCUAAAUAAAGUCAUGUAUCUUGUUUUUGGACAUGUAAUUGGGGGUUUUGAUUCUUUGUAGGCUUCUCUAGCCAAUGACUAUACAGCAUCCAUUAAUCGUGUAACGUGGAGUCCUAAUGGACUUUAUUUUGGUAUGUACAGAUGUCACUUCUACUUGUCUUAUUGCAAAUUGAUGAAACAACUAACGCGCUGAGAAUGAGACUUCAUUGCAAUAUUUUCAGGAAAAAUGUUCAUAUGCUGCUAUUACUGAUGAUUUGUGGUGUUCACUUUAGGUGUUGCUUAUUCCAAACACAUGGUGCACAUAUACUCGUAUUACGGUGGUGAUGACAUGAGGAACCACCUUGAGGUUUGUUGCUAAACAAGGAGUGAAAAAAUUCGGCUUCUUUUUGUAGACAAUUGCCACAUAAAAGUGAGUAAAACUUGAUUUUGACUCUAAACUAAUGUUUGAUACAGCUCGAGGCUCAUGCUGGAAGUGUUAAUGAUCUUGCCUUUUCAUAUCCAAACAAAUGGUUAUGCGUUGUGACCUGUGGAGAGGACAGGUCAAUCAAGGUAUAUCUUGAUUAUUUUCCUCAGUGUUGCAGCGUUCCAUCGUUUGAUCCCUUAACUAAGCUAGUAGUUUUGUAGGUAUGGGAUGUAAUGACUGGGGCUAAGCAAUACUGUUUCAAGGGUCAUGAAGCACCUGUAUAUUCUAUUUGUCCACACCAUAAAGAAAAUAUCCAGGUACUUGAUUAUUUCACGUACUAACAAAGACACCCUGCGAGCAUGGCCAAUCAGAUGUACCCUUGACUAUACACUAGACUUUUGUUUUCUAAAACUCAGUUAGGUAAAAAAAAAAUUGGUUCAAUUUGUAUGAGGAGUAUGAACCUAUGUUUUGAAGGACCUUGUUCAUUUCAAGGGUUUUGCAAGUCUUCCGACUUUUAACCUGUCUUGAUUAGAAUGUGCUUGUCAAACAUGGUGAAAUUGGUCCAAAGAUCAACCUACUAAUUUGAUUCUUUCAAGUAAUGCUACUAAGCAUCGACAACUAGGUAAAGGUCUUUGCAAUAAUGACUUCCUGCUUAAUUAUAUAUUCAAAAAGAAAAUUCCUCUACUACCAUUGAUUGUUCUCCCUUAGUUUUCUCUUUUAGUCACGAUUGGUUAAAUUUAUAAUAGAAGGCUGUUUAUUGUGUUUGAGUGGAGCAGCAAUUGGCAAUGUUAUCUUCUUCUUCUUCUUCUUUUUAAACAUUUAUGGUUGUGCAUAGUGUACACUUUAUUACAAAGAUGUCUUAUGAAAUCUCAUCAUUCUAGGAUGCUAUGUUUAAAUAAUUAUAGUUUAAGUGGAUGUGCUCUAUUUGGGCAUGUUACUGAAAUUGGUUAUACAAUUGUUUUAUCGUGUAGUUCAUCUUCUCAAUAGCAACAGAUGGGAAAAUUAAGGCUUGGCUUUAUGACAACAUAGGGUCAAGAAUUGACAACGAUGCACCGGGUCACUCUUCUACCGUGAUGGCAUACAACGCCGAUGGAAAAAGGUUUAGACCAUCAGCAUUGUAUAUCAAGCUUGAUUUCAUCCCGAGUCUUUCUUUUUCACUGAAAUAACCUAUUUUAGCGAUUUUAAUUUGCUAUAGGUUGUUCUCGUGUGGGACCAAUAAAGAAGGAGAGUCAUACUUGGUUGAAUGGAAUGAAAGUGAGGGGGGUAUCAAGCGUACAUAUCAUGGACUUGGAAAGAGUUCUAGUGGGGUUGUGCAGUUUGAUACCAUCAAAAAUAGAUUUUUGGCUACUGGUGACGAGUUCAUUAACAAAUUUUGGGAUAUGAACAAUGAUAGCCUACUUACAAGUACCGAUGCUGAUGGUGGAUUGCUGGUAAUUCACUGUUGUUAAUUUAUUUUGACUGAAUUAACUGAAACUUUCUAUUAAUUACCUCACUCUUUAAAUUUGCAGGCUUCACCUUGUAUUAGAUUUAACAAGGAAGGAAUCCUGUUAGCCGUCUCAACAAGUGAUAAUAGCAUCAAAAUUCUAGCAAAUUCAUUUGGGAUUGAGCUGCUAAGGACUGCAGAAAAACAUAUGCUUCUAGAGUCACUGCUAGGAGUCUUUUGAAGGUAAGCUUUUUUAACAAUACACUAACUUUAUGUAAAGAAGUCACUACUAGUCCAUUGUGGUCGGCUAAAACCCAAGGACUUGAUUACACUAGUUAUUUAAUUAAUGCUCUUUCAGUACCUAGACUUGAUUUAACUAAGUGUCCAUGCAGUCUUGGACCCUUUUAUUGACCUAUGCCACUUAAUUGGUGUCCAUGCAUGAGUGCACAAUAAAGGAAAAGUAAACAAUCAUUAUUAAUUCAACAAAAGUAAAGUAUAAGAAAAUACACCUAAUGAAGUGCCAAGCGAAGAAUACACAUGGCUUUGUUUUUAAGCCUCAAGACAACAACCUUGUAAGCUAAAUUCAAAUUAAGUCCAAUUCCUUUUCUCAAACACUAUUCUAUGUAACCUCACCUAAAUCAAAGGCACUCAUUAAAAUCUCUAAACCAUAUGUAGAGUAACUAAAACUAGAAGAAACUAAGCUACAUCUAGCACUAAAACUUAACGACCUAAUCAAGGUCUUUGUUAUUAACCAUUUUCCAAUUUUUCAUAUUUUCGAUUUUUUUUGAAAAUUUAAUUUUAAUUAUUUUCUGAAAAUAGGAAAUCGGGCCGGGCCCUUGGGCCUGGUCCGGAUAUGAGCCUCAUACUGGUCUCACGAAUCUGGGCUAAUGGACAAAAUUCGGGCUAUUAUAUCCAGAUCCAUCCAAUUCUAACUCUACUGAGCCCAAUUCAGAUUAUACCUAUUUUAAGCCCAUUUACCCAUGGAAGCUACUCUAGCUCACUUUCUCAUCUAACUGCACCAAGUCCAUCUUUAAGCCCAAUUUCUAUUACAAAUAGAUUAAACCCUAAGCCCACGCCAACCCUAUCUUACUAUUAUUAUUUUUAAUCCAUUUUUUCCUCUUUUCUUACAUCUUUCGUCAUUUUUUAUUAUUAUAAAAGUAAUCAAUGUUAGGUGUGCGAAGAGCCCCCCCUUUUUUUUAAGAGACUACCUGGUAAACUUUCCUGCAGUAACUUAAGCUAUAAAGGAUGGGUGAUGUAGCUUUUGUAAGGUCUUUGACAAAUAUUUCACAACUUUUUAGGAAAUUGCUUCGCCCGAUUUUGGGAUGUUGGAGCUGCUGUCGACGGCAUUGGGAAACAAUUUGGUAAAAGAAGUUGAAUUAACCUUCCAGCAAAGAAUUAUAAAGUGGAGAUGGUCAAUGGCAUUGGGAAACAAUUUGGUAAAAGAAGUAUUUCUAAGAGGUAUAAUAAGUCAGAACUCAACAAAAACGUCAGUGGAAGUGUUCAAUCAUGAAGAAGAAGAAGAAGCAAAACACCAUUCACUAAGGGAUAACUCGUGCACGCAGAAGGGAGGAAGCAGGGGAAAAUGGCUCCAUCUUCCAUCGUCUCCAGUCACCAUUGGAUAACCUUUCGUCGCGGUGUCUCAAGUUCCGAUAUAGCCGCUAGCUACCAUCGCCGUUCAUUACGAGUUCCAACUCCUUCGUUGGUUGCGCCGUCGACCAUCAGUCUCAGGAGGAUCACGUUUGUUCAUUUCAUCGCGAGCACCAUUCCAGAACCAAAACAAACAAAAACAUCGAGCAAGGAAAAUUCAUCUAAAAAAAGCGAUUCCGUUCGAUUCAGUUGGCGAUUUCAAGCGUUCUGAAUCGAUCACAGUGGCCGUCGCCGGCAUCAACAGCCUCUUCAAUGCCGCGACUCAUCUCCUUCGUUUCCCUUCAACGGCCGAGAGCUUCGAAAUGUUGUCGUUCCGCUCGAAGCUUCUCCACCUGUUCAGGUUUCGAUCAUCGACACGUUCUAGAGCUUCUUUCAGCGAUUCGUGCGCCAAACCGCGGCCUCAGUCCACUUGAUUAAGCAGGUAGCAUCUCCUGUUCUGUUGUCACGAGUAAGAGGCCGAGAGUCUGAUUCUCUUAUUAUGAUGAAAUUGAUCAUAUUUGAAUUUUUUUCUUUGACUUCGAACAUCAUGUACUGAUUUAGGUUGAGUCUAGUUGUAAAUUCGAGUUCGAAAUGGCUUUGAUAUGUUCCACAACCGAUUGACCAUAAUCUGUUCGAUGAAAUGUGUCUGAGACCCUGUUGUGAAUUGAUUCCAGUAAUCGUCCGAUCUGAAAAAGCGCAUUAGUGAUGUUCACUUGAUAUUGUUUGAUUUUUCAAUCUUUAGACAUGAUUACGAGUAUAUGCCAUAGUUGCCAAGAAUAAAACUGACUCUCCGCAUGUUUUCUCAGUGCUUCUUGUGAUCCUUUGGUGAUAGGUGGUGGUUGCCGGCAAGGGGAGAUGGAAUGGAGUCGCUGGCACAUGCAUUAGUCUUUGGUGAUGAUCGUAGCAUGCCCUGUUGAACAGAAUCGAGACGAUGUCGCUGAGCGUUAAUCGCCAAUUCAGAUAAUGAACUGCGGCCGACACAUGUUGCGGUCACUAACGGGAGCAAUGUUAUGCCUAGUCACUAUCCGCGUCCUUGCCACUGAGUCACCGUGCAAUCUCCUCGACUGCCAAGCUUUGCUUCAGUCCAUGCCUUGCAGACCAUCCUUGCCAUUGCAAUUGCUGUGCCACACCUUACCAUAAUGGCUAUUCAAGUGAACUCCGCAUGCGAUAGCACUGCCAUCAGAAUAAACCGCCAUACAUUACCAUUAUGGAUUGAUGUGGCAAUAGAGCUAUAUCCAUCACGUGUCUUUACAAUCGGUUGUUUCCGUUCCAACUGAGUUUUAGAGUCCAUUGUAUGUUCAGAUUUCCUUCGCUGCUUUGUUUUAAUGUUCAGGAUUUUGCGAGUCUUCUUAAACCGAAUCAUGGGAAAACUAAAUGGUUCGAAGUCCAGUCGUCAUGGGGUCGAUACUUUGUUGUAAAAUCAUUGUGCAUUACCUGCUUCCUGAUUCUUGUCUUGUCCUUUGGUUAUUGGUUACUUCACCUUCGUUGAUUUCAUUGUCCGGAAGUAGGUAAUCAAUCCAAGAGCACCUGCUAAAAUUGCAUUUUAGUUGUGUCAUCUGCUUCCUGCCUCAUUCUCUGUGAAUGACAUUCUACUUCUUGCGUGCUGUUGAGGGAAAUCAAUGGUUGACAAUCGAUAUGAAGUGAGCAAGUUAUACUUGUUUCCUGUCUUUAGUUGAUAACUUUUUGCGUAUGACAAUCGAUUAAUUAAACCAGUCCAUAGCUUGCACGAAAAUAGUAAAUGAGGAUUUACUUCUUUCUUGGAAUUAUCAAUGUCAUCGCUUUGUCUCUGGUAGUGGAAGAGUUUAUCAUUCUUUUUGAACUUUUUGAACUUGUAUAAGAAUCAAUGGAAUUCUCAUGGAGCAUUGAGUACCCAAAAUUUACAAGUUAUAUGAAGUGGUGGUGUCCUUUUGUUGCAUAUGCUGGAGUUUAGCGGUUAGUGUUCAUCUAUGUUUGUUGAACCGUUUGAUUUAUCACUUCAAUCGACAAAAUCUCAUAAACAGACAUGACAAUUGCGAGAGACGUCUUUGAACUGGCACUUUGGUGAUGAUGGUGCUCCUUCGUGUCGACUGUAUUUACUUGUUUGAGGAAGAAUCAUUUAUGAUAUUUUAUGAUAUUGGAGAAGUGAAUAUGUAUGGAAGGUUCCUUGGAUUCACAAGAAUAAAACCACUCGUGAUCCUGGAUCCACUCAUUGAAGAAAUGGAGAGAGAGAAUUUCCACAUGGACGAUGUGAAUGGGUCGUUGCUAAGCUUCUCGGCUGUUUGUUGAAUUUGAUUUGCAUAAUGGGUUGAAGCUAGCAUUUUAGUAGUGCUGGAAUUCCAAAACUGAGACGAACUGAAGAAUUUGAUGUUAAGUAUCUAAGCAAUGCCCACAAUUAGUAACAUGUUCUGAGCUAAUCAAGGUUUGUCAUCUGAGUAUAUCGCCAAGUAGUGCAUAACUUAGUCCUUUUUAGAGUAAUGCAUCAUUUAGUUAGAAAUUCGAGCAUGUUUAGAUUAGUACUUAGCUCAUGUGGGUUACUGUCUCGGGCUUAGCUCGAGAAUUCCAGCACAUUAUGACUGGAUGUAUAACCUUCCACAUCAUACAAAACCACAUAUCAGACGAACCCAAAGAUUUUCCGUUGUUCCACAAAUUAAGCAGGCUGGCACUUUAUCUUGCUGCUGGCAUAGUCGGCAAACCUGAUAAAGAACAGAACCAAAAUCUUAUUCACAAUCAGUUCAAAGAUGGGCACCCCUGAUGAUGUCGCAGUACGUAACCACAUUUCCGAUAAAGUUAAUCCUUGCAGUCAAUCAAGUAUGUGCCAUACUUGAAAUCUUUAGCAAUGUAAUUGAACCUUCCAAGAAAAUCAAAGGAAGACCCUUGGCACGGCACCAGCCUGGGGUAAUGUUGUAUUGACUUAUUUUAAACAUAAAGAUUGAAGAAUCAAGCGAAUGUGCACAUGUCCAUCAACGUAUGUCUUACAGGGCAUUUUUUUCAUCUUCAUAUAUAUAUUCGAGUUCAAAGGUACAUUUUUGCUACAAAUUCAUGUGGAUAGAGCGCAAUCACAAUUAAGUAGAAUAUCACUUGAAAUGUAAAAUAUAACCAUGCACCAUCUUAAUUAAGAGCCUGGAGAAGUUUAAGGUGAGGUGAGUAUAUAAGUUUAACACAUAAACUCAAUAUUUUAUGUUUGGACAGUGCUAUUACUUUCGUCACCAUUUGACUCACAAGAAAUAUGACGUAGAAGUGACAGGACCAUCAAAUCUAAUAACCAUGAUGAGACACUGCAAAUAUUCUCAUGUGAGAGUAUGAGAAACAACAGAAAAACAAGUCCAAGAAGCCACACAUUGACAUAUUCCAAAUCACCAAAGAAAUGUCAUAAUAAUUUAAAAAGAAAUCCAAAACUUUGUAAGCAAGAUAGAGUAAAGAUCUAACAUAAGCCUGAAUGAAAAAAAAAAGAUUUUUUUUUUUAUAUACUUUUCAUCCCUGUACUGCCACCUUUUUAUGUAAUUAUGUCCAUAUACCUUAAACUUGUCGAAUCAAGUCUUUCUAUAUUUACAAAUUUACUAAUCAAGACCCAACCAAAUUUAAUUGACGUAACCCUCGAAUGAUGCCCCAAUAUGAUGCAAAUGCUCACGUAGACAUAUGUGGAAAAAUUUAGCCAAUGUAGACAAUGUUAGAAUGUGACAUGGAUAAAAUUUAGCUAAGGUGUUAGUCAAAGUAACGUCCAUAUUGGAGAUUUUUUUAUCUAUGUCACACACUGACAUCAUUUGAUGAUUACGCCAACUGGAUCUGGCAGGAUUUUGUGUUUAUUGGGAUUUGAUUAGAAAAAUUUGUUAAAUUUGAAUGACUUGACUCGACAAAAUAAAAGUACGAUGGAGAGAACAGUAAAGUAGGGAAUAUUUCAAAAAACCAACCGCAAAUCCAGUCAGCAAAUAUCAGCAAAAGAUAGUGGCAGUUGCUGAGAAAUUAUGGUCUAAACUACUCUUAUCUGCACCAGCAAAAGAAAGCCUCACCUGACAAGACAACUAAGUCUAUUUUGUACCACAUGAGCAAUGAAUGGAAUGGUCACUCUUGAGUACUCAAAAUUCCGCUGGUGUGUGGGUCCGAUCUCAACGACAUCAAAAGCCAAGAAAAGGUCGCGACUGUGAACAUGUCUAUAAACUUAGUCUCAUUUUAUCAUAUGCUUUGACAGGGAACAAAAUUUCUAAGCCAAACUAGCAGCUGUGAGGGAAAUAUAUUCAGCAAGGGAUGUUGACACCUAAAAUUUGAUGAUCUAGUUAAUUAUUCAUUGCAAAAAUUAAGUAAAAUUGAGGAUUGAUCCCGGUCCCUAAAAAGAUAUUAGCUAAGUUGCAUAUACAUAUUAGAAGCAUUUUUCAUUCAUUAAAUAGUAAGCCCACAUAUGAUUACACUUCGAUUGGACUGGUGUAAGGAGAUUAUGAGCUUAAUUGAGUUUAUUAGACUAAGCCCAUGAGAAUGAGAAAUUCGGCCUAACCCGUCUAUUUCCUUUGCUCGACCAGACAUCAAAUAUGCAGUAUAAGGAAUUUAGCACGAAUGAAGGAGCAAAUAUUCGUUAUUAAGGAAUAUAUUCUGAAUAAUUUUUUGGGAGAAUUAACUGGCCAAUUCUUUCCAUUAUUAAAGAUGCGCAUCAUGCUUAAAGUAGGCAAGUUAAUUUUUCUUAGUCAAAUCUGGAAGUAAUUGAACACUAUUUGAAAGGAUAAAAACAAAAAUAGAAAAAUAAAAAGGAAUAAAACAGGGAAAAAGUACAAAAAAAGUCAUAAACUAUUGCAUCGAUAUCAAUUCAAUUCUAAAAUUUUCAAUUAAAUCAAUUAAAUCAUAAAUUUUUUCACAUUGGUACUAAUUUAGUCAAUUUGACCAAUUUUGGUCGGCUAGUGGCCAGAUGUUGACGUAGCAAUUUUUAAAUAAUUUUUUUGAAUUUUUUUAUUAAUUUUUCCUUCUUCUUUUUUUCCCUUUUCCUUUUCUCUCUUCUUCCACCUUAAACUAUACUCACGGUGGCCAGCAAACCUUUGGUGAGGCUCGCCAACCAUUGGGCGAGGGCCGUGAAGCCCUUGUCGGCCGCUAGUGAGGGUCGUGGCCUUCGCUUAGCCUUGCCCAAGGCCGCGAGCGAGGCUACUUUGCCUAGGUCCAGGUGAGACCAGCCUCGCCCUAGCCUUGCCUUAGGCGAAGGCGGCCUCGCCCGUGGUUGGCAAGGCCAUGGCGGCCAUCGCCAAGGCCUAAGCAAAGGUCACCAUGUCCUCACCUGCAGCCCCGGGCGAGGGUGUGACCCUCCCUGGCAACUGGCCAGUGCUUCGCGGCCCUUGCCUAGUGGUUGGCGAGCCUUGUGGGAGGCUUGCUGACCACCGCGAGUAUAGUUCAAGGAGGAAGAAGAGAGAAAAGAAAAGGAAAAAGGAAAAGGGAAAAAAGGAAAAAGAAAAGGAAAGGAAAAGGAAUUAUUAUAAAAGAUUAAAAAAAUUAUUAAAAAUUGUCACAUCAUUGUCUGGUUAGCGUCCACAUCAGUGUCGGCUUGCCAAAAUUAGCCAGAUGGAAUGAAUUGGUACCAAUAUGAAAAUGUUUAAGACUAAAUUGAUUCAAAUGAAAAAGUUUAGGACUAAAUUGGUACAAAUGCAAUAAGUUUAUGAUUUUUUUGGUACUUUUCCCAAGAAAAUGGUGAAGAAAGAAAGAGAAUGAAGGAGCAGAGGACGCCGACAAAGAGGAAGAGGAGGGAGCGAAGCCAAUGGUAGCGUGGGAGGAGCUAGGGUUGGAGGCGGCGGCGGUGACGAAAGGGAGGGGGUGAAGGAGAAGGAGAGAGGGGAGGAGGAGUUAGGGUUUACGGUCACAAGCAAAGAAAGAAAAGAGAAAACAAGAAAAAAGAAAGGAAAAGAGAAAACAAGAAAAAGAAAAAAAGAGAGAAAGAAAUAAGAAAAAAAAUAUAAUAUUAACAAAUUCAAAAUUUUUAGUUAGUAAAAUUUUUAGGAAUAAAUUUUUCAUUAUCUAAGGACUUUAAAACAUUUUGGAAAAUGUUUUCCAAUUCUUUCAAAUAGAAAUCGUUUUUAUGAAUUUAAGCUUUGGAGGGAAAACCUAUUCUAUUGAUUAGGAAAAUAGUUUAUGUUAACUUAUUUUCCUAAGUGAAUCAAACACUGGUAAAUGAGGAAAACGCUUAUUUAGGAAAUUGUUUUUCGCAAAACAAACACACCCUUCACUGUGUUCCCAAACACCUAGGGAGCUAUAGGACAUUAGUGUUCGCCGACACAUUUUCUAGGAUUGCCUUUUCCACAUUUUAUUUUUCAAAUUUCCAUGUUCUUUAACAAUAUUUCGGAAAAUGAAUGAUACAUGGGGGGAAAUUAGGAAUUCAACAUGAAACGUUGCAAACUAUUAAUUUGGAGGAGAGAGAUAAAAAUGAUUAGAUGGAGUGUAAAGACUGGAUAAUCUUUAAAUAUGAUGCAGCAUGGAGAAAUCUAAUUUGAGAAAAUUAUUUCGAAAGAGAUUUAUUUUGAGAGCUACUUUCUCGGUCAAAUCUCUUUUGAAAAAAGUAAUGCGUCCCGCACACUUUUAAUAACAAUAUCCUAUAUAAUCCCACGAUUGAUAUGCUUUUGUUAUCGACUCAUGUUCAUUAGCAGCUUCGACCAAAAAAAUGAAGAAGAAGAAAAAAAAAUGUACAUUAGCAACAGGAGAAGGUGAUUGUCGGUAACCACUGGGAGUUCGCCCCAAUGACCACUCUUCCAACUUGGAAGGGGGAUGUUGGGAGUUCAAAUUCCUAACUUCGCGGGGGGAUUGGGGUGGGGAUGAUUUCAUUUCAAGAAUGGAUUUCGACUCCCACGUCCUGCAAUGAGGCAGGGCAAAAGUCUGAAAGUGAGUGUUAGAGUAAGAUUAUAGUAGGAUCGAAAAAAAGAAAAAAGAUGACUGUUGGUCGUUAGUUGUCUUUUUCUAUUCUGUCUAGUAAUACAAAAGGCUAGCCAAGUCAGACAAUGCUGGAGGAUCUCAAAUCUCAAUGAAAGCACAUGCAUGCACCAUCCUCGUAUAAUGCUGAGGAUCGGCGGAGAUCACAGCUGGCGCACGUGAGUAUUGCUCGUUGGUUCUCUUUUCUAUUUUCUUUCGUUAAUAUCGAAAGGCAAGUCAAGUCAAUCCGUACUGGAUCUCAAAUUUUGAUCAAAGCACCAGGCACGUGAUUGCAUGUGAGUAAUUGCUCGUUGGGUUCCGCACACAUUCCGCAAGAUGCUGCGGAAACUUCGCGUGCAAUGACUGUUCUUUCCGCGGCAUGUUUCGCUGCGGUUCGAUUAGCAUGAAGAGACUUCGACCGUUGGAUAGCUAGGCCCCAACAUUAUAUGCUUUGCACAAAUAGCCCCGGUCGAUCUUUUCAUGCGUCAACAAUUUUUAUCUAAUUAAUUUGACUAACCCAUAUAUAUAUAUAUAUAUAUCCGGAUGGAGAGGAAAUCCUAUUCAGGUAGAUAAAUUUCCACCGUAUAAUUCUAAUAAUGGAAAUUUGGUUCAUUCACUCUAAAUAUUUUGCCUUCCAUACCCAAAAUUUAGGACCUCACUAAUUUCAUCCUUUGCACUUCUAUAUCCUCAAGAAACUUUGAGCCUGCAUACAUCUUUUCUCUUGACAAUGUAAAUGGUUUAUAAAAUUUUUUUAGCCCUGAUUACAUCCUAGAUUGCAGUUUGUUUUAGGGAGGGUUUUAUCCGUUGAGCACACGCACUGAUUAGUAAAAGCAUCGCCAGGAGAAAAAAAUGAACUUUAUGGUUCUUCCCUAAACUUUAAUUUGCUUUCUCUUCGCUAGUUAAUCUUUCCUAUGUGCAUAUACUUGCUUCGUUCUUCCAUAACGAAACAUGUAAUUGGUAAAUUGUCGAACUUGUGAACUACAAUAUCCACUAUUUUAUCAAGUCUCAUUUUUUUUUUCCAUUUUUAAUUUGAGGUAGUACAUUAAACAUGCUAACAAAAUAGAAUCUAAAUAGGAAACAAAAAUAAAAAUAAAACAAUUGGCUAUGGUGCAAUAUUAUAUAGCAAUAUAAUUGGUCUAGGUCGUGAUAUUGUAGUGUAGUUGGUUUAUAAUAUCCAAUCACUAAUGACAAACGACUAUAACAAGUACAUAGAUCUUUUUCUUUUCCAUUUUUUUAAUUGAUAUGAGAAGGAAAAUAUAUUUAUAGGAUUAUAAAUAUUAAGAGAGAGAAUAGAUCUUGCAUUGCCAACAAAGCAACAUGGCAAAAAAGUUGUAUAAUACCUUAAGAUUGCUUCAUUUGCAGUACCUUUAUUAAAGAUAUAUAAAGUUGUAUAAUACCAAUGGCUAAGAUAUUAAGUGUAAUACUCAAAUAUAACCUUGUUUAAGAGAUAAUGACGACAAAGACAGCGAUAAAUAUGCCCUAUCCAAUAAGUAACUCACCGAUAAAAUACGAUAAAACCCAACUCGCCCUCGAGUGCUGUCGGAAUAUUAUUGCAAAUACAUCCAUGAAGCCAUCGAUAGAAGACACGUACUUGCAAAUACAUCCAUGGUCCAUAUUUGAAAUUCAGCACUCAAAAUUUUUAGUGAUUAUUUUUCAGUUUUAUCUUAACGGCACGUACUCGCAGCUUAUUUUUCACAAACGAAUUUAAGUUCAGCAUUGGCAAAAAAAAAAAAAAAAAAAAACAAGUUGAGUCGAGUUGAAAGUCGAGUUAUAGUACAUAAGCUUUGACUCAAAAUUACCAGUGCAAUCGUUUACUUUAAGUAGUUAGAGUACAAUGUUGAAUAUAUUUUGUCUUAACAGUUCAUUUGGUUUAACUUCUAGCUUUUUCUUGACGAUAAAGCAAGAAUUAGGUACAUAAAUUCACAAAUCAAUAAAUAAUCCACUAAUGCAAAGGAUCACACAAGACACAGGUCCCUAGUUAUGAAACCAUUUUAUGCUUACAAACGCGAGGAACCAAACACACGUCAUGUAUCUAGUUUCCAUACACUAAUUUUUGCUUUCCUUUCUCUUGCAACUCACACAGUUGAACUUUUGUUUAACAUAAAUAACUUAAAAGAUUCAAAAUGUGUAAAUACAGUCACGUAGAUAAUUAUACAAAUCUUUUUGUAAUUAACUUAAAUUAUAUAUUAAUUUUUUAAAUGUUAAACAUUUAUUAUGUUAUACCAAAAUUAUCUUGAAAGAGGUAAUACACCAGGCCAAAGUAAGGAGCCACCUCAGUUACCGUCGAGUCCACGUCCGUGUGGCCAUGCAGCGUUGUCGUCGAGGUCCGAGGGGCGAUGGAUAUUCCUGUCUCCUUUUUCAAAAGCCGAAGUAAUCACUCCGAAAGUCCAACCCCCAUGUCGCCUCGGUUGGGAAGUACACAGGAACUCGCUCGGUCCGCGCGCCACGUGAGGUCGAGGGGCAAGUCGGAGUGGCAGAAGAUAUCCUCGAGGUCCGAGGCGGGGACCCCGCUUAGGCUUCGGUUUCAGAGCAGCUGACCGUCGUAGCGGUCAAACAAGUACGUGCCGCACUUGAAAUCUCUAGCAACGUAAUUGAACCUUGCAAUAAAAUCAAAGGAAGAACCUCGGCGCAUCACCAGCAUAGGAGACCACCAUAUUGACUUCAUUUAAAAAGAAAGAACGACGAAUCAAGCAAAAGUUAGUAUGUACAUAUCCAUCUAUGCAUCUCUUACGGGGCGCUUUUUCAUCUUUUAAUAUAGACUCGAGUUCAAAGGUAAUUUUUUGCUACAAAUUCACAUGAAAAUAGCAUAAUUACAAUCAGUAGAAUAUCACUUGAAAUGUAAAAUAUGACCAUGCACCAUCUUAUCUAAGAGCCAAGUUUGAGAAAAGACUACCAAAAACCCUAAACUUUACCAAAAGUGACAAAUUUAUCUCAAACUUUUUUUGUGACGUGAAAAACCUAAAACUUUUCAAAUUGUAACACAUUUACCCAAUCAAGGGCAUUUUUGUCUUAUUUUUUCUCUUUUUUUUUUCUUCUUCUUCCCUCUACUGGCUAUGGUGGAGGGAAGCUGGCAUCCCGGCGAGGGCUGCCCUUAUCGACGUUGGGCUAGCUCAUGCGAGGGUCGUCUCGCCCUGGGGCUUGGCUANNNNNNNNNNNNNNNNNNNNNNNNNNNNNNNNNNNNNNNNNNNNNNNNNNNNNNNNNNNNNNNNNNNNNNNNNNNNNNNNNNNNNNNNNNNNNNNNNNNNNNNNNNNNNNNNNNNNNNNNNNNNNNNNNNNNNNNNNNNNNNNNNNNNNNNNNNNNNNNNNNNNNNNNNNNNNNNNNNNNNNNNNNNNNNNNNNNNNNNNNNNNNNNNNNNNNNNNNNNNNNNNNNNNNNNNNNNNNNNNNNNNNNNNNNNNNNNNNNNNNNNNNNNNNNNNNNNNNNNNNNNNNNNNNNNNNNNNNNNNNNNNNNNNNNNNNNNNNNNNNNNNNNNNNNNNNNNNNNNNNNNNNNNNNNNNNNNNNNNNNNNNNNNNNNNNNNNNNNNNNNNNNNNNNNNNNNNNNNNNNNNNNNNNNNNNNNNNNNNNNNNNNNNNNNNNNNNNNNNNNNNNNNNNNNNNNNNNNNNNNNNNNNNNNNNNNNNNNNNNNNNNNNNNNNNNNNNNNNNNNNNNNNNNNNNNNNNNNNNNNNNNNNNNNNNNNNNNNNNNNNNNNNNNNNNNNNNNNNNNNNNNNNNNNNNNNNNNNNNNNNNNNNNNNNNNNNNNNNNNNNNNNNNNNNNNNNNNNNNNNNNNNNNNNNNNNNNNNNNNNNNNNNNNNNNNNNNNNNNNNNNNNNNNNNNNNNNNNNNNNNNNNNNNNNNNNNNNNNNNNNNNNNNNNNNNNNNNNNNNNNNNNNNNNNNNNNNNNNNNNNNNNNNNNNNNNNNNNNNNNNNNNNNNNNNNNNNNNNNNNNNNNNNNNNNNNNNNNNNNNNNNNNNNNNNNNNNNNNNNNNNNNUGGCUUCCUUUCACGGAUUCCGCCAUGGCCGGCAGGGGGAAGAGAGAAGAAAAAAAAAAAGAAAAAGAAAAGUAAAAAGACCAAAAUGCCCUUUAGUUUAUGAUAAAUGUGUCACACGACAGAAGUUUAGGAUUUUUUAUAUCACAAAAGAAAGUUUGGGAUAAAUGUGUCACGGUUGGCAAAAUUCAUGAUUUUUAAAAUCACAAAAAAAAGUUUGGGGGUAAAUCUGUCACUUUGGACAAAGUUUAGGGUUUUUCGUGAUUUUUUCCAGCCAAGUUUAAGGUCUAAGAUCAGCAUUUUGAUAUCAUUACGAUCAUCUUAUAAGCAGUAAGCAUUCAAGUAGCAUUCAAGUAGCAUUCAAGUUUAAUACAUAAACUUGAUAUUUUAUGUUUGGACAUUGCUAUUACUUUUUUUUUUUUGGUAAGGUAACAUUGCUAUUACUUUUGUCACUAUUUGACUCACAAGAAAUUUAACAUAGGGAAAUUUAACAUAGGAGUGAUAGGACCAUUAGCCCUAAUAACCAUGAUGAGACACUGCAAAUAUUCUUGUGUCAGAGUAUGAGAAACAACAUAAAAAUAAGUCCAAGAAGCCACACUUUUGACCUAUUCCAAAUCACCAGAGAAAUAUCAUAAUUAAUUAAAAGAAAUCCAGAGCUUUGUAAGCACGGUGAAGUAAAGAUCCAGCAUAAGCCUGAAAGACAAAAUUAAGUUUUUUUUGGGUACUUUCAUCCCUAUACUUUCACUUUUUUCUCUCAUUAUGUCCCCAUACCUUAAACUUUUCUAAUCAAUUUAUUUUGCUUUCACAAAUUUCCUAAUCAAGACCCAACCAACCUUAGCUUAUGUAACCGUCAAAUAAUGCCCCAGUACGAUGCGGAUAACUUAUGUGGAUGCCCACGUAGUCAUGUAUGGAAAAAUUUAUCCAAUAUAGACAAUGUCAGAACGUGACAUGGAUAAAAUUUAGUUAAGGUGUAUGCCAAAGUAUAUGUCUAUAUUGGAAAAUUUUUGUUUACGUCACACAACAAUAUCAGUUGACAGUAAUGCCAGCUGGAUUUGGUCGAGUUUUGUGUUAGAGGGAUUUGAUUGGAAAAUUUAUGAAAUUUCAAAGAACUUGUUAGUAAAAUUACGGUAGAGAAAACGUGAAAGUAGAGGAUAAGAAGAAGACUGAUUUCGAAAAACCAACAGCUAAUCCACAGUCAGCAGAAGAAUGCCUUACCUGACAAGAUAAGUAGGUCUACUUUGUACCACGUGAGCAAUGAAUGGAAUGGUUACACUACAUCCUCACAAUUCCACUGGUAUCUGGGUCCAAUCUCAAGGACAUCAAAAGCCAUGAAAAGAUCACAACUGUGAACAUCUCUCUAUGAACUUGUCUCAUCAUAUGCGUCAAGAGGGAAUAAAAUCUUUAAGCCAAACUAGUAGUUGUGAGGAAAAUAUAAUCAGCAAUUAAUGUUGACACAUAAAUUUUGACUACCCAAUUAGUUAUUUAUCGCAUAGAAAAAUUAAAAAAUCGACCUCGUCCCCUAAAAAAAAUAUUAGUUAAAUUACAUAUAGAUAUUAGGAGCAUUUUUCAUUCAUUAAUAGUAAGUCCACAUAUAAUUACAUUUUGAUUGGACUGGUGCAAGGAGAUUUUGAGCGUAAUCGAGUUAAUUGGACUAAGCCCGUGGGAAUGAGAAAUUCAGCCUAAUCCAUUUAUUUCCUUUGCUCGACCAGACAUCAAAUAUGCAGCACAAGGACUUCAGCACGAAUGAAGCAGCAAAUAUUCGUUAUUGAGAAAUAUAUUCUGAACCUUUUUUUGGGAAAAUUAACUGACUAAUUCUUUUCAUUAUUAAAGAUGCACGUCAUGCUUAAAGUAGGCAAGUUAAUUUUUCUUAGUCAAAACUGGAAGUAAUUGAACACUAUUUGAAAGGAAAGAAACAAAAAUAGAAAAAGAAAAAGGAAGAAAACGGGGAAGAAAGAAAGAAAUUCACGGCCCGAGCAUGAUAGACCAGAGAAUAAUGUAUGCACUCACAAGAGGAAAGUGGAAUUCGGCCAGCCCAAAAGGAGUUCUCGCCAAGUAUAAAGAGAUAACACUGCAACACGUAAAAGAGGAGACAAAGGAGGGAGACAAAAUGUUCGAUAAAUUCACGUUCGCAAUUAACGAGAAGUGUGAGCAAUACAUAAAAGAGAACUCAAGUUUUUUCUGUGCCUCGAAAAGCUAGCCCCUACGCAGUAAGUGUGUCUAUGUUUUGACGUUACGAUUGGGAGAAAACAUGUGCGUUCAAUGACAUUGGAGAUUGAUUUACAUGUCUCAAAGUCAUUAGUUGGAAUUAAAAGUGGACUGUAAAUGCAUGUGAAGAUAUUCGAAAAGUACACUUGUAAUAGGUGGAGACGAUAUUUGGGGCACUCAUGAAAAAAAAUGGAUUGAACGGGCCAAAAUAUUUUAGAUAUUUAUAGCAUAAGUUUUGUCAUAUUGAUGCAUUUCGUUAAACAAUUUUUUUAAUCUUGAGGAGAAGCUUCUAUUGCAUUCAUUUAUAGUUUAAGAACUAUAGAUGGACGUAAAUGAUCAACGGCACAUUUUCUAGGGUCGCAUCUUCCACAUAUUUUCAAAUUUCCACACCUUUAAAAAUAUUUUGGAAAAUGAAUGAAAAAUAGGAGGGAAGUUAGGAAUUCAACAUGAAGCGUUAAAAACUAUUAACUUAAGGAGAGAGAUAAAAGUGACUUAAGCAGAGGGUAAAGACCGGAUAAAACAUGAUAUAGCGUAGAGAAAUCUGGUUUGAGAAAAUUAUGUCGGAAGAGAUUAAUUUUCAGAGUUACUUUCCCAGACGAAUCUCUUUUGAUAAAAGUAAUUCGUCCUGCAGGCAUUUGAAUAACGAAAUCCUAUAUACCACGCUUGAUAUGAUUUUGUCAUUGACUCAUGUACAUUGGCAGCGGGAGCAUGCGACUGUCGGUCGUUAGUUUUCUUUUUCUGUUCUGUUUACUAAUAGAAAAGGCAAGCCAAAUCAAGACAAUGCUGCAGGAUCUCAAAUCUGAAUGAACGCACCUGCAUGCACCUCCCUUGUAUGAAGCUGAGAAUCGGUGGAAAUCACAGCUGGAGCACGUGAGUAUUGCUCCUUAGCUUUCUUUUCCAUUUUCUUUCGUUAAUAUAAAAGUCUAUUUACUUUCAUUAAUAUGAACGGCAAGCCGUGCGGGAUCUCGACUUUUGACCAAAGCACCGGGAGCAAGUGAGUGUUGCACGUGAUUGCAUGUGCGCACGUGAGUAUUUAUUUUGGCUCUUUCGGUUCCGCGCUCCUUCCACUAAAUGCUGCGGAAACUAUGCAUGCAAAGAUUGUUCUUUCAGCGGCAUGCCUCGCAGUGGUUCGAUUAGCACGAAGAGUCUUGGACCGUUGGAUGGCAAGAACUCAGCAUUAUGUGAUUUGCACAAAUAGCCCCGGUCAAUCUUUCUAUGCUUCAACAAUUUUUUUCUAAAUAAUUUGACAACCCAUUCAUAUAUAUAUAUAUUUCCAGAUGCAGAGAAACCCUACCUACUUAGACAAAUUUCCAUUGUAUCAUUCUAAUAAUGGAAGUUUGGUUCAUUCACUCUGAAUAUUUUUCCUUCCAUGCAAGUAAAAGUCUAAGACCUUACUAAUUUCAUCAUUGCUACUUUGAACAAACGUUUCUCUUUUCUCUGGAUAAAUUUCUUUUGCCUCGAUUAUAUCCUGGAUUCCAACUAUUUUUUUUUUUUUUAAAGGAGGGAAUUAUCCAUGGAGGACGCACACUAAUUUGUAGAGGCACCAUUAGGAGAAAAGAAUAAACUUUAUGAUGUGAAAAAAAUUACAUUUUAUAUUCUUCCCUAAAUUUUAAUUUGUUUUCUCUUUGCUAUUUAAUCUUUAUUAUAUGUAUACUUGUUUAUUUCUUCCAUAACGAAACAUAUAGCUGCUAAUCUAUCAUCCUUGUGAGACACAAUGCCCACUAUUUUAUCACGUCUCAUUUUUUUUCAUCUGUAAUUUGAGGUAGUACAUUGUUAAGAGACGAAGGAAAACGAAAGGCCCAUGUGUACUCUACUAUCGGUAGAAUAUAUUUUCCACGCCCCGAUUUUACAAUCAAGACGUGCUGCACCCCAAUUUUCAAUCAAAGCACGUUGCAUAAGUAGGAUCCACACACCUUCCGCAUAAUGCUGCAGAAAUUAAUUAUUAUCGAACAACCUUUUCUUUCAUUUUAAGUCCUUAAAAUGGUCCAUAUUUGAAAUACAGUACUCGAAAUUUCGGUAAUUAUUUUUCAGUUUUUUCUAAACGGGCUCAUACUCGCAGCUGAUUUUUCACAAAUGAAUUUAAGUUCAGCAUCAGCAAAAAGACAAGUUGAGUCAAGUGGAAAGUUGAGUUAUAGCACCCAAGGUUUGACUUGAAAUUACCUAUGUAAUCAUUUACUUUAAGCCGUUAGAGUACAGUGUUGAAUAUAAUUUACAUCAUAGCAAUUUAUUUGGUUCGACUUCUAGCUUUUUGUUAACGACGAACACAAAUCAGAUACGUAAUUCACAGGUCAACAAAUUCUCCACUAAUGCAAAGUAUCAAGCUAGACACAAGUCUCAUAUACGAAACAGUUUAUGCUUGCAAAUAUGGCGGACCAAACACACGUUGUGUACCUAGUCUCCAUCUACUAAUUUUUACUUUCUAUUCCCUUGCGACUCUCAUAGUCAAACUUUUUUUUUUUUAUAACAAAGAUCACUUAAAAGAUUCAAAAUAUGCAAAUACUAUCACGUAGAUAAUUAUAUAAUUAUAUUUUUAAUUUAACUUAAAGAAUAUACAUAUUUUAAAUCUUUCAAAUGUAAAAAAUCAAUUAUACUUUUAAGUGCAGUCUAAAUUUUUAUCGAAGGGUUGCAUACCAAAAUUAUCUUUUAUUUUGAAAGAAGUAAAGCACCUCAUUAGUCAUUAGAGAAAAAGGCCAAAGCAUGGAGCCACCUCAGCUAGCGCUGUCGGGGACCCGUCUCCUUUUUCAAAAGCCAAAAGAAAUUGCCCCGAACGUCAAACCCGCCCACUCGCCUCGGUCAGGGAGAGCACGGAAACUCGCUCGGACCGCGCGCCACGUGAGCUCGAGGGGGGCAAUUCGGUACAUUCCGAGUGGCCGAAGAUAUCCUCGAGAUGCGAGGUGGGGACCACACAUUGGCUUUGGUUUCUGAGCAGCUGACCGGCGUAGCGGUCGAGCAACGCGAACACGGAGAGGAGGAGCGGCGUGGGUCCGCGUGAAGAGACAACCUAAGCAGAAUCUUUUUUUUUGGUCGAAGCCUAAGCAGAAUCCACACGGCAAAUUUCUACUCUGUUUUCGUGGAUAAAAGGGUCUCGAACAGUUGGACGGCAAUAACUCAGCAUCGUUCGAGCAAGCGCGGGAGAGAGUGUUAAGCGUAGUUAAUCCGAGGUUGAAGGCUGAGAACCGGCAGAGUUCACAGCAGUAGGUGAAUUGUGUUGUUUGAGCACUCUUCAGGUAAUCGAUUGCUCCAUUUUCUUUUGAUGAGUUUCGAUUUGAGUUCUUGGAGACAUUUUUGCAUUCCGAGAUUUGGACUGUGAAAUCUAGACUUUUUUUCUUCAAGGCUCUGCUCGAUCGAUGUCCUAUUUGGUCAAUUAGACUUCAUUUCUGUUUGAAUUUAGCUACGAAAUGAGCUCUGACAGACAUUUCGGCAAUUCCCGAAUCCGGGAUUCCGUAUUUCUCUUUGUUUUCUGCUUUUCUUCGAGGCUCUGCUCCAUCGAUCUCUUCCAUUCCCUUUAUAGGUGAUUACAAAGGCGGAGCCUAAAAGAUUCGAUAUGUGGGGACAUUCAGAAGAUCCGAAUUGUGGGGCUUCUUCCUCAUCGACUUCACCGCAUGUAGGUGAUUAUGAAGGCAGAACCAAAAAGAUGAAAAGAAAUGACUACGAAGUGUUCUUGAGCUUUAGAGGGAAGGAUACUCGUAAUGGCUUCACCGAUUAUCUAUAUACUAGUCUUGUUGAUGCAGGAAUUCAUGUGUUCAGAGAUGACAAUGAGCUUUGUGUUGGUGAGGAGAUUGGACCGGAACUUUUCCGCAGUAUUACACAAUCUAAGAUCUCCAUCCCGAUUAUCUCAGAGGACUAUGCAUCCAGCAAAUGGUGCCUUCGCGAGUUGGCUCUUAUGUUGAAUUGCAAGAGAAACAAAGGGCAAAUGGUGUUACCCAUAUUUUACAAAGUGGAACCUUGGCAAGUGAAGCAUCUCACAGGGAGAUUUGGAGAUGCUAUCAAUACACAUAAAAAGAAUUUGGAAGAAAAGAUUGUGAAGGAAUGGGAAGAAGCACUCAAAGAAGUCACUUCCUUGAAAGGAUUGGAAUCGGAGAAAAUUGAUAAUGGGUACAUUAUUCUCCACCACAACAUUGUUUACUUUCUCAUAACUAGAUCUUACUUGAAAAAUAAUACAAAUAUUUCCAUCAUAUAUUGAAAUUUUUAUUGUUGUUCGACAGGCGUGAAGGAACAUUGGUUAAAAUAGUUGUCAGAAAAGUUAUGAGUAACUUAAAGGAAUUGUUUUUGCUAAAUGUUCCCAAACAGUUGGUGGGAAUUGAUGAUCGUGUGGAGCGUAUUAUGCACUUCAUAAAUGCUAAAUUUAGUGAUACAAGUAUUAUCGGAAUCUAUGGAAUGGGCGGCAUCGGUAAGACAACCCUUGCGAAGGUGUUGUACAACAAGCUUUUGAGUCAUUAUGAGUCUCAUAGCUUUGUGGCAGAUAUUCGAGAAAAAUUUAAGCUCAAGGGUCUUGAAUGCAUACAAAAGCAGCUCAUUUAUGACAUUAGUGGAGGCUUAUGUGAUGUGUCUAAUGUCGAUCACGGAAUCAAUAUCCUUAAAUCUCGAUGUAUAAAUAAGAAAGUUCUCAUUCUUCUUGAUGACAUGGAUGAUAAUACUCCCUUGAAUGCUUUGGUUGAAGACGGUAGUUGGUUUAAAGCUGGAAGUACGGUCAUCAUCACCACUAGAGACAAGAGUAUUCUUGACAAGGUUGGGGUAAGAUACAAGUAUCAACUCAAUGAGUUGCUUUCAUAUCAAUCAUUGGUUUUAUUUAGCAGACAUGCAUUUCGAACGGAUUCUCCUCCGAGUGAUUAUUGGGUUAUCUCUCGUGAUAUCGUAUCUACUACUGGGGGGCUUCCUUUAGCUCUUGAAGUUAUUGGUUCAUUCUUAUGUGGAAAGACAAAAGAAGCAUGGAAAGCUACAUCAAAAAAAUUAGAGAAAGUGCCUAAUAAGAAAGUGCAAGAGAAGUUGAGAAUAAGUUACGACGCAUUAGAUUUUGAGGACCAGCAGAUUUUUUUGGAUAUUGCAUGUUUUUUUGUCGGAUCAUCUAUACAAAAUCCGACUUACAUGUGGGAUGCCUGUGGUUUUUUCCCGGGAAAGGGGAUUGAAGUAUUGAAUCUUAUGUCCCUAAUUAAAAUUACUGAUGAUGGCGAGCUAAUGAUGCAUGAUCAGCUGAGAGAUCUUGGAAGGGAAAUUGUUCGUCAAGAAAAUCUAAAGAAGCCUCAAAAGCGUAGCAGAUUGUGGGAAUAUGAGGAUGGCGUAGAUGUGCUUCUCAGCAACAAGGUAAGAGUUUUUCUCCGCUUGUCUUAAUCAUCGAAUGUGAGCACAUCUUCUCUUUCUUGUUUAAGAUAAUAAUUAUAGUCAAUCACGAGUCCCCAAAACUGGCUGCGUCUACUGGCAAGAGGGCACUUUUAAUUAAUUGCUCUUCUUGUCGGACUUUAGGACAAAAUUGAAGAGCAAUUUCUUGGUUAUUAAUAACUAAUAUUUUUAACUAGUAAGAUUGUGAUGAGGAUACUCUCCUUUUGCUAGCUUCAAUAAAAAAACAAAGCUACAAAUUAAUGUUCGAUAGAGCACUUUUAAAGAAAAUCGAAUAUCUAUAAAUUGUUGGGGCCAUGCUUUCCCACAUUUUUGUUUGGUGCACAGGUUGAUGUUUGAAUUCUUAUAUUGAUUUCUUUUGAGGUAUUUUCUUUCUUUUUUCUUUUAACGAGUACCGACUUCUUAAGAGUUUGCUACGAUGAAUGAGACCAUUCAUUAGUGAUGAUUAGCUAUCCCGAUUCUUGAAUUUUUCAAGUUGGGUAAAGUAUAGAUUUAGUCCCUCAAGUAAUACUAUUUGUAAGAUUUAAUCCCCUUUCUAUUUUUUGCUCAAUACCAUUCUCCAUCUUUCACAGUUUGUGCGAUCAAGUCCUUUGUAGUCAACCGUUAAUGAACAUGGUCAAUUUGUUGAUGUGACUUUCAUAUACUAUAAAUAAUAUGGUUAUAAUUAAUAUAAAUCCUAGUUAUAAUUAGAAAUCUAACAUUAAUAGAGUGACUUGGAAAAAAAGACAUGAAUUUUGGGAAUAACUAUUACUACAAGUAAAUAUUGUAAUAGACUAUAAUAGCCAUUACGGUAAUGAAACGUGCUCUAAUAAUCUAAAUGCAUGUAAUAAUACAUUGCUACAUAAUGUGUAUGUAACUAAGGGUUAGUAAAUGUGUACAACUAAACGGUAUAUAUUAUGCGGUAAGAUAUUUAGUUCAAAGUAAGACGUUAGGAAAAAAAAAGUAGAAAUUUUCCAAUAAACGGUAUAUAUUAUGUAUUCCCAAAAAAAUAUAUAUUAAUAAAGAUAUGUUCUCAAUACCAUAAUUAUAAAAAUUUUAAUGUUGAAGUAUUAUCUAAACUAAAUUUUUUGACAUGAUACUUGUUAAACUUGGAAGUUAAAUAUUUCAACCAUACAUACAUGACCUUUUUCUUUAUAUAGAGGAUGAGUGAUGAAGUGACUUUUCAGUUACAACAUUUUUAAAUAUUUAUAGAAGAAUGAUAAUUAAUAAUAAAACUAAACAAUUUCACAACUGUAUGUUGGCACAGAAGUGAUAUUAACAUAAUAUAAUUAUUCUUCAUGUCCAAUCUAUCUCUUAGCAAGAUCUUAUUAAUUUAUGGGCAAAAUUGAUCAUAAAAUUAGAUGACUGUUAUUUCUUUGUAACAAAAUCAACAUGAAAUGAAAAGUUAGCAUCAAACAUAUAUAGUAAUAAAAAGAGAAGUGAAAAUCAUGCAUAUAACUUGUUGAGGAAACACAUGAUAAGAAAGGAAUGCAAAACAUCUGUGUACUUCUUGGGAUGGAAUUCUCAUUUUCAUUUUGCUAUCGAGAAUUGUAAACAAGGUACGAAAGAAAAAGAGGGGAAUUCUACAAUUGAGAUUCUUUAGUAUUGAUACAUGCUUUGACGGUAAAUUUGAUAUAUGCAUUUGAAGUUUUGAACUGUAAGAGACAUGUUGUUUCACAUAUAAAGGAUAUGAGUUAGUUUGUUAUUUCCCAUAUAAAGGGCAUGGAAUUUUGAAGUGAUGUUUGCAUGAAAAGAGGCCUUCUAUAUUAAUUUUGAAAGGAUGGGACUUUGGGGAAUUUAAAAGCUGCAAAUUGUGAAGGGAAUAAUUGGAAGAGGAAAAGUUUGGGAAGACCCUCUUGAGGUUCACAUUUUUACAUUGAUUACCACAACCUGUCAUGUCAUGAAGUCGAAAGUGAGAAGCUUAAAUCAUGAUAGUACGACAACAAAUUUGAAAUCAAUACAUUUUUUCUCAUAUAUAGUUGCUUUCAACCCAUUAUUCAAAACAACAAUUUACAAUGUUGCCUAAUUGCAGGGCACUAGUAAAAUUGAGGCCCUUCGUCUUGACUUAGAUAAUGGGAAAGGAAGUUACAUGGCUGAAACAUUUAAAGAAUUGACCAAAUUGAGGAUACUUCAACUGGAAGGUGUGAAUCUCACUGGACAUUUUCAGAACUUGUUUCCUCAACUAAGAUUGCUUGAGUGGAUGGAUCAUCAACCGGAUUUUGAAUUGACCAACUUUCACCUGAAGAAAUUAGUCGUGCUCGAUUUGUCGUGGAGCAAGAUUUCAGAGAACUGGGGAGGAUGGAGUCAACUAAAGGUAAAAUGUAAAGAAGGCAUAUGUCUUAUAAAUAAUCACGUGUUGUCGAUGGACCCAAUUGCACCAAGUUAUACUUAAUUUCUUCUGAAAAUAUAUAUUAUGGAUUUUCUUCUAAGCAUAAGAGGAAUUCAUAGGCACCUAAAUAUGUCAAAAGCUUCUACCCCUUAAUAUUUUAGCAAACUAGUCAUGCUUAACAUCAGACCUACUAAUAAAAACUUUUUAAAUCGUAUUAAUUAACAUCUAUCAAAAAUAUAAUUACAAUAAUGUGCCCAUGUUAAUUUUAAUCUAAAUGGUUUAUGGCUUCUAGUUAAUUUCUCCCCAUGCAAAAGUAUGUAUUUUUAGCAAUUCUUGUUAUAUGUAUGUAUGUAUCUUCUUUCAUAAAAAUGCAAAGACCCUCACAGUGACUUGUGUUUUACAUACAUACUAAAAUUCUAAAUUCAUUGUUACUUUUAAAGUAAUGGAAAUAAUUUGUGAACUACUUUGACUUGUUGCGCACAAUAAUUAUUCAUUAUUAUUGUUGAUUGUUGAAGUCACCGUAUAACACAUUUAUAAAGUACUAAUGUCAUAUGAGUAAUACAACACUUUUUUAUGUCUCGUACAUAUAGCAUUUAAAAAUUGUUUUUCAUAAUUAAAGUAGCCAUUUCUCUUUAAUUUCAUACUAAUUGAAGGAAAACAUGGCACCAAAUGAAUGCAUCUCAUUUCUUCCAUUUGACUUUGUCAUAUGUAAUUUGAUAAUAAAAUUUGUGUAUCUCUAUUCAAUAAAUAACAACAUAGUCAUAACUUUGAAAAACUAAACAUGACAUUUUCUAAGAAAUUUUAUUUGCGAAAAAUUGUAGAUAGCACUCAUACAUCCCUAACAUUCUCUUUGCAAUGAUAUGCUUAAAAACAUUUAUAUGCUAGCUUGGCGAAUACACUAUUGAAAAGAAACAUUUAAAAUUAAAUUAAAUAGCUGUGUAAAAAUAGGGAGAAUGGGAUUAUUUUUUUUGUCCAAUCUCAAAGUGGUAACCUCUUUCUUUCAGAUAGCAACCGAGCUCAAGGUUCUCAACCUUACGAAUUGUGCUUUAAGAACAACUCCCGACUUGUCCGCUUUCAAGAGUUUGGAGAUUUUGAUACUUGAAGCUUGUGAGGAUCUAGAAGAGAUUCAUCCUUCUAUCGAGGACAUCGAGACCCUUGUCUCCUUGAAUGUCAGUAAUUGUUGGGAGCUGAAGAAGCUACCACUAGGAGUAGGUAGAAUGGAAAAUUUGAGCAAGCUUCUCAUAGAUAACACUAAUAUACGAGAGAUUCCUAUUUCAAGAGGUUGUUUGACAAAGCUGGAGACUCUACAUGCCUCAGAUUGUAGACGGCUUGCUCAACUUCCAGAAUCCUGGGGCUCCCUUAUGUCAUUAACUCAACUAGACCUAAAAAGAACAGAAAUUGAGGAAUUACCCGAAUCCAUUGGAUCAUUAAAGAAGCUCAAGACUCUAAAUACCUCUUAUUGUGCAUUGUUAACUUGCCUACCCAACUCAAUAGGCGAUUUAGCAUCUCUAUGUUGCCUUGACCUAAGAAAUUGCCAAAAGCUUGCUCAACUUCCAAACUCCAUAGGCUCCCUCGUGUCUCUAUUGCAAUUGUUGUUGUCGAGAUGCUACUCGUUGAGACAAAUCCCAGGCUCGAUUGGAAAGUUGACAUCAUUGACUGAGCUGCAUUUGCAAUCUACGGCCAUUGAAGAAUUACCUAAAUCUAUUGGUUCAUUGAAGGAGCUCAAGACUCUAGAUGCCUCUUAUUGCACAUCGUUAGCCCGCAUACCCAACUCAAUAGGCAAGUCACUAUCUUUGUCUCGCCUUGACCUAACAGGAUGCCAUAAACUUGCUCAACUUCCAGACUUUAUAGGCUCCCUUGUAUCUCUACAACAGUUGUUAUUGUCGGGAUGCCACUUGUUGAGACAAAUCCCAAACUCGAUUGGAAAGUUGACAUCAUUGACAGAGCCGCAUUUGAAAUCUACGGCCAUUGAAGAAUUACCUGAAUCCAUUGGUUCUUUGAAGGAGCUCAAGACUCUAGAUGCCUCUUAUUGUGCAUCGUUAGCCCGCAUACCCAACUCAAUAGGCAAUUCAAUAUCUCUGUCUCACAUUGACCUAACAGGAUGUCAUAAACUUGCUCAACUUCCAGACUCUAUAGGCUCCCUCAUGUCUCUACAGUGGUUGUCAUUGUCAGGAUGCCACUCAUUGAGACAAAUCCCAUACUCGAUUGAAAAGUUGACAUCACUGACUGAGCUACAUUUGAAAUUUAAAGUUAUUGAAAGAUUACCUAAAUCCAUUAGUCUUUUUAAGGAGCUCAAGACUCUAGAUGGCUCUUAUCAUGCAUCGUUAGCCUAUAGACCCACUUCAAUAGGCAAUUCAACGUCUCCGUCUUGUCUUGUCCUAACAGAAUGUCAUAAGAUUGCUCAACUUCCAGACUUUAUAGGCUCCCUUGUAUCUCUACAACGGUUGUUAUUGUCAGGAUGCCACUCGUUGAGACAAAUCCCAGACUCGAUCGGAAAGUUGACAUCAUUAACUAAGCUGCAUUUGAAAUCUACGGCCAUUGAAGAAUUACCUGAAUCCAUUGGUUCUUUGAAGGAGCUCAAGACUCUAGAUGUCUCUUAUUGCAAAUUGUUAGCCUGCAUACCCAACUCAAUAGGCAAUUCAACAUCUCUGUCUCGCCUUGACCUAACGGAAUGCCAUAAACUUGCUCAACUUCCAGACUCUAUAGGCUCCCUCGUGUCUCUACAACAUUUGUUAUUGUCGGGAUGCCACUCGUUGAGACAAAUCCCAGACUCGAUCGGAAAGUUGACAUCAUUGACUGAGCUACAUUUGAAAUCUACGGCAAUUGAAGAAUUACCUGAAUCCAUUUGUUCUUUGAAGGAGCUCAGGACUCUAAAUGCUCAUUGCAAAUCGUUAGCCUGCAUACCCAAUUCAAUAGGCAAUUCAACAUCUCUGUCUCGCCUUGACCUAACAGGAUGCCAUAAACUUGCUCAACUUCCAGACUCUAUAGGCUCCCUCGUGUCUCUAAAAAUUUUGUUAUUGUUGGGAUGCCACUCAUUGAGACAAAUCCCAGACUCGAUCGGAAAGUUGACAUCAUUGAUUGUGCUAUAUUUGAAAUCUACGGCCAUUGAAGAAUUACCCGAAUCCAUUGGUUCUUUGAAGGAGCUCCAGAUUCUAGGUGCCUCUCAUUGCAAAUCAUUAGCCCGCAUACCCGAUUCAAUAGGCAAUUCAACAUCUCUUCUCGCCUUGACCUAACAGGAUGCCAUAAACUUGCUCAACUUCCAGACUCUAUAAGCUCCCUCAUGUCUCUAAAACAUUUGUUAUUGUUGGGAUGCCACUCGUUGAGACAAAUCCCAAACUCGAUCGGAAAGUUGACAUCAUUGAUUGAGCUGCAUUUGAAAUCUACGGCCAUUGAAGAAUUACCUGAAUCCAUUGGUUCUUUGAAGGAGCUCAGGACUCUAGAUGCCUCUCAUUGCAAAUCAUUAGCCCGCAUACCCAAUUCAAUAGGCAAUUUAACAUCUCUGUCUCGCCUUGACCUAACAGGAUGCCAUAAACUUGCUCAACUUUCAGACUCUAUAGGCUCCCUCGUGUCUCUACAACAUUUGUUAUUGUCAGGAUGCCACUCGUUGAGACAAAUCCCAGACUCGAUCAGAAAGUUAACAUCAUUGACUGAGCUGCAUUUGAAAUCUACGGCCAUUGAAGAAUUAUCUGAAAGCAUUGGGAAUAUGCAAAACUUAAGGAUAUUGGACAUUAGUGGAACUCCCAUAAUAGAAUUGUUUGAUGACCCAGGAAUAUUGGUAGAACUCCAAGAGUUCAGAGCUUCGGGAUGGAAAAAUCUGGAAGGGUCACUUAGUAAUAACGGCCAAUUGGUUUCACCAAACAAUCUUGGUUUAGACAAGCUUCAAAAACUAUCAGAAUUGCGCUCUCGCAUACUAGCACUCGGUAUUACCUACCAAAUCUCGCAAUCACUAAAUCUAUCCUAGCUAAACUUUCUUAAGAAACUCACUAUUUCUAAUUGAAUUGAAUGUCUUCAAACCUUUCUAUAAAACGUUGUAGAAAAGCUGUGAAUCUUGAUUUUUUAUUUUCAAAAGUUCAACCUAUUAGUUGGGCAUUCUAUUUACUUUUUUUCUUGUGAUACAGUUCUCUUAAAGCGUCCCAAGACUCCAACAAUCAACAACUCAACCAUGGAUUUUCAAAUAGCAGAUUCUAAACACGUUUCGAAGAGAUCAAGACCUUUUGAAAUCUUGGAUGAAGUACUUAUUUCAUCUUGCUUUUUCUUUAUCGUUCUUUAUUAAUUAUAGGAUGGUUUUAUCUAUAAAGAGAAGUAUCUUAUUGGGGGAUCGAUUAUCUGUUAUGUAUGGAAUGCUUUUCUCAACAUUCGUAACUAAAUCUGUCAGGCUUCUUAUGUUCAUGAAAGUAGGAAUUUUCAAUUUUCCUAAAUUAUAAACUUAAGUUCGAAUAUAUUGCCCAUUCUUAUGCGAUUCUCUUUCCUAAUUAUCUUUCUUUGCAUGCCAUUGAAUGAAACCUUUUGAAAGCACUCUCACUUUGGUGCUAUUGCGGCAUAUGAUCAUGCAUUGGGAAUCUUUAGGAGUGUAGGGGUUAUUUCACAUCGGUUGUGGAAGGAGAAGGUAGUGAGUUUAUAAGUGUAAAGGAAAGCCUCACCCUUUAAGCUAGCUUUUGGGGUGAGAUAAGCCCAAGACCACCCAAAAAUGAUAAACUUUUAGUUUUAAGGUUUCUCGAUACCCUUAACUUUCAUGAUGUGAACUUAAAGAAAUAAUUGAGGAUUGGAAGGAUUACAAGAAAGUCUGAUGGAGAGAAAAAUGAGCAAAAGGGCUAAGGUUGUCAAUUUAUAUGUUUGAUUGUCUUAAUUGUGUUUGUUAAUGUGUCAAUUCAUCAUGACUUCUAUUGGACAUGUCAAACCAUUGAAUUAGACGAGAGCAUGUAAAUAUAUCUCAACCAACUAGUUAGAUGUAUGGUGAUGUGUCAUAUUUUGGUUGUGUCUGUGUUUUUCGUGUUUGGUACUGUCAUGUAAACAGUUAGUGUUAAUAUUGGUAGCAUUAAUGAGGAGUGUGGAUUGGGAAGGUGUUGAUUGCAUCUUCUCCCAUCACACAGGCAUUGUGCUCGCGUAUGCUAGUAAAAUAGGGGCUCUCAUACAAGUUUUGCAUCUUUUGAGUGCCAUGGCUUUUAUCAAUUUUCUAAAGGACUAACUAGUUUUGUAAUCUUUAUGACGUCCUAUUAGGUGAAUAAUUUGCCGGCAAACAUUCUGCCUAUCUCAUACAACUGCCCAAGCCUCAGUCAGAGUUCUUAUUCUUCAAAUGACUUGCCCGGAAACGUAGUCAUUACCCUAAGUCAAGGUUCGCUUGUUAAGAGUAUGGAUUUCCAUCCAGUGCAACAAAUUCUACUGCUCGGUUAGCACUUCUUUCAUACUCUAUGAAUAACAUGUUCCGUGCUUUUCUUCAGUUGGAUAUACUUAUUCUCAUUGGAGGCCAUAAGUUUGUUCUUUGGUGCUUGGAAGAUUGCUUUUUGAUGUUCUUUUGACACUAGCUUCAGCUAUAUUAAACCACGGGCUAUGAUUCUUCAAAUUUUUUACUUCAAUAAUUUUCAGUGGGAACAAAUACGGGCAAUGUUAUGGUAUGGGAAGUAGGCAGCGGUGCGAGGAUUGCUUUGAAGAAAUUCAAGGUUUGGGAUUUGAGAACAUGUUCAAUGGCGUUGCAAGUAUGGAAGUUCAAUUCUAAAUAAAAUCAUGGCAUCUUGUUUUUGGACAUGUGAUUAUGGAUUUUAAUUCUUUGUAGGCUUCUCUGGCCAAUGACUAUACAACAUCCAUUAACCGUGUAAUGUGGAGUCCUGAUGGAAUCCUUUUUGGUAUGUACAUAUGUCACUUCUACUUGUAUAUCAACUUAAGAAAUUGGGCAAUACAUACUUGCAAAUUGAUGAAAAAACUAAAGCGCCAAGAACCAAACUUCAUUGCAAUAUUUUUCCAGAAGAAGUGUCCAUAUGCUGCUUUUACUGAUGAUUUGUGGUUUUCACUUUAGGUGUUGCUUAUUCCAAGCACAUGGUGCACAUAUACUCAUAUCAUGGUGGUGAUGACAUAAGGAACCACCUAGAGGUUUGUUGCUAAACAAGGAGAAAAAAAUUAAGCUUCUCUGUUCUGCUGACAAUUGCCACCUAAAUGUGAGUUCAACUUGAUUUUGACUCUAAGCUAAUGUCUGAUACAGCUCGAGGCUCAUGUUGGAAGUGUUAAUGAUCUUGCCUUUUCAUAUCCAAACGGACAAUUAUGUGUUGUGACCUGUGGAGAGGACAGGUUGAUCAAGGUAUAUUUUGAUUGUUUUCCUCAGCAUUACAUUGUUAUGUUGUUUGAUCCCUUUUAACCAAGCUAGUAGUUACAUAGGUAUGGGAUGCAGUGACUGGGGCUAAACAACAGACUUUUGAGGGUCACGAAGCACCUAUAUAUUCCAUUUGUCCAUACAACAGAGAAAAUAUUCAGGUACCUGGUUAUUUCAUGUACUAACAAGGACACGCUGCAAGCAUGGCCAAUCGACUGUAUGCUUGACCAUUCAAUGGACUUUCUUUGCUAAAACUUGGUUAGGUCAAAAAAUUUGUUUCAAUUUGUAUGAGAAGUGUGAAUAUGCAUUCUAAUGGACCUUGUUCAUUUCAAGGAUUUUGCAAGUCUUCCGACUUUUGACUUGUCUUGAUUAUAAUGUGCUUGUUACACAUGCUGACAUGGUCCAAAGAUUAAAUUGCAAAUUUGAUUAUUUCAGGCGAUGCUAUUGAGCAUGGACAACUGGGUAAAGGUUUUCGUAAUAAUGACUUCCUUCUUAAUAUAAGUUCAAAUGGAAAAUUGCUUUGCUUCCAUUAUUUGUUCUCCCUUAGUUUCUCCUCCAGUUUUGAUUGGUUAAAUUAAUAAUAGAUUGAUGUUUAUUGUGCCUGGGUGGAGCAGCAAUUGGCGAUGAUUGUGUACACUUUAUUAUGAGGAUAUUUUAUGAUAUCUAUUUGGGUUUUAGGUGGAUGUGCUCUUGGACAUGUUAUUGAAUUGAUCGUAGGAUUGUUUUAUUGUGUAGUUCAUCUUCUCAACAGCAACGGAUGGGAAAAUUAAGGCUUGGUUUUAUGACAACGUGGGCUCAAGAGUUGAUUGGGAUGCACCAGGUCACUCUUUUACCAAGAUGGCAUGCAGUGCUGAUGGAAUAAGGUUCAAACCACCAGCAUUGCAUUUCAAGCUUGAUUUUAUCCCGUGUCAUUCUUUCUGAUUGAAAUAACCUAUUUUAGCAAUUUUAUUUGGCUAUAGGUUGUUCUCAUGUGGAACCAAUAAAGAAGGAGAAGCAUACUUGUUUGAAUGGAAUGAAAGUGAAGGGGCUGUCAAGCGUACCUACCAUGGACUUGGAAAGAGAUCCGGUGGGUUUGUGCAGUUUGAUACCACCAAAAACAGAUUUCUGGCUGCUGGAGAUGAGUCCAUGGUCAAAUUUUGGGAUAUGGACAAUAACAAUAUUUUGACAAGUACUGAUGCUGACGGUGGAUUGCCGGUAAUUCAUUAUUGUUUAUUUAAUCUGACUGAAUUAGCUGAACCUUUCCAUUAAACUCGUUCUUUAAAUUUGCAGGCUUCACCUUGUAUUAGAUUUAACAAGGAAGGAGUUCUAUUAGCAGUCUCAACAAGUGACAAUAGCAUCAAAAUUUUAGCGAAUGCUGAUGGGAUUAAGUUGCUAAGGACAAUGGACAAUUGGCCUUUUGAUGCUUCUAGAAUCACUCUUGGACCUCUUAUGAAGGUAAGUUUUUUCAAGAGCACACUGACUUCAUAGAGAGGAGCUAGCUAAAUGUCUUCAAUUUUGUAUUGCCACCAACAAUUGUGAUAUUUAGUUCUGCGAUAUUUAGUUUUGGUAAUGCUACUGUUGGAGCAAACCCUGGUAAUAGAGGGGUUCAAGUGGUAGAAUUAAAAUGUUUGAUCCAAUUUCUAGAUGUGCAUUUGGUAGAGGAGUCUAGAAAAAUCCAAAAAAAAAAAAAAAUCUAGCAGGAUUAUCUAAAGUUUCGUGUAGAAAAAUCUGUAAAAAUUAUCUUUGUAGCAAGGCAGAUACUUGUCUAAAAAAUAUCUGACUCAAGCAAAGAUUUUUGCAUGUCUUAGCCGCUGAUGCAAGCCUAUAAAAAGGCUUAGGGUCGUCCAAAAGCGAACACUUUCGGGUCUCUAUUUUUUUAUUCUUAAAAACAGAUUUAAGAUGAAAAUUCGUUUAAUGAUAUAAUUUUAUUUUUAAUUUUCCGAACAAAUUUUCACUUAAUAAAUAGAUUUAGAAUAUAAAUUAUAUAUAUAUAUAUAUAUAUAUAUUUACAUUUCUAGAACAAAAACAAAAAUAAAAUCUUUUCUCUUUAUUUGCUCUCGCUACACACGACCGUCACCUGCUAACCACCUACCUCCCGUUGCUCUCCACAAAUUGAUAGUCGCCGCCUAUAAAUUAUCUUUGCUUGGUUUCUCAUUCAUGGAUUAAAAAAAAAAAAAUCUAUUUAUGAUUAGAAAUUAGUUACAGAAACAAAAUAGUCAUCGUUCGCGCCCAUAAUACACCAACUAAAAUAAACCUCUCUACCUUCGUUUGUAUGAUGCAUUGGAUAAUAAAAGCCUUCUUCUUUUUCUUUUUCUUUUUAAAUAUCCUUGUGCUCCUUGCUGCCACUUUCAGAAAUCCUUGUCCUCUUCUAUUACAUCAGCAGCAGCUGACUUGCGGAGCAUUUUUUUCCUCACAUCCAUCCAGUCAUAUUUUAACACAUCUCUGUGGAUUUUGAAUUAAAAAUAAAACUCCUUUGAUGAUCCACCGGCCAUUGACCUCGGACUAGCCGGCUGCCACCCUUGAACACCGCCGCUCCGUAGGCCGAGCUUCAAAUCUAGCUGAGUCGUCACCUCGGCGCCGCACCAGUCUAGUCCACCUUCACUUGCUUCAAGCUGAUCCAUGGCCGCCUCCGAAUCUGGUCGACCUCGACUCUACGCCAGAUAUCGUCUGCCUUAAAAACGGUUCGAGCUCGGCGACUCCUCCAUGACUGCCGAGAAGCCGCCGAGAUUUCGGUCACAACGUCGAGCUUGGCAGCCAUAGAAGGCCGCCACUCCAAAUGUAGAGGCUCAAUGGCAAUGGAGGCCGAGCGUCCAGAUCUGGCCGUGGCGAAGGUCGUGACAUGACCUCGAGCUGCAGCGAUAACCCCGUUAGAGGUCGCCUUAAGAGACGGCGUUAAAAGUUGCAGACGGCCAUGGACAGAGCAUGUAACAAGAAAGGAGACCGAAAAAAAAAAGAAAAGAAGCAAAGAAUGGUGGGGAACAAUAAGAAAAAGAAACAUCUUUUCCAACUUUUCAACAGCAUCACCGGGAUGAGCCAUGCCGACGACCAUGGACGGCCAGAUCUCGAGAGCCAACAGUGUCGCCGGCCAUGGCGGAGCAAGGUUCGUGAGUGACGCCGACGGCCAUGGACGGCCAAAUUUGGAGAGCCAGUGGCGUCACUCGUCUAGGUGACGCCGACGGCCAUGGUGGGCCAGAUCUGAAGAGUCAGCAGUGUCACCGACGCAUCAUCGGCCAUGCCAGCUUGUCCGAGGUCAGGUGGCUGGCUUUGGACGAACGAGGAAGAUGAAGCUAGAGGAAACAAUUCCACCACACAAAGAGACUCCACAUCAAUAUUUUUUAAUUUAAUUCAAGACACGUAAAUUUUUUUAAGUGGAUAUCAAGGAAAAAAUGCUCGCCCUAUCAGCUGAUGCGGCGCUUUGAAACCACCUAAUAUCUUCCCCUUUCCGCACACAUCUACACAAACUAGCAGCAAUGGUAGGGAUGGCAAGUGGUAUCAUUACUGCAUUAGGUCGUUAAAUUUUUUUAAGGAGCUUUAUUUGUUGCUUAUUUUAUUACUUAAAUAUGCGAUAAUUGCAUUUGUAUGUGCAUGUUUAUUGGACGUCUUUCAAUGACAUCCUCUCUUUUGAGCUCUACAGGACAGCGAGAGCAUGGCAGAUGAGAAGCCCAGAAUUGCCGAUGACUCGACAGACAAAUCACGAAAUUGGAAACUGACAGAAAUCAACGAACCAUCGCAAUGCCGGUCCAUAAGGCUGCCUGAUAACUCUACGGCUACGAGGGUACAAAUGACUGCCAAAAUAGGAUUUUCUUAUGUAGCAUUUCUUUUCCGCAUUUCAUGUUUGUACUAGAUAAGCACAAAUUUCAAUAGGGGUUGCAUUUAAUGCACUUGCUUUAUUAGUUAUAUUCACAUGUGGUCCAAUUAAUCAUCUCUUAAACCUCAGCACUUGGAGGACUCUGUCAUCUCUUCAUUUGGCCUUUUAUUGUUAAUUGAUUGUUUCAACUACACAAAUGGGAAAGGAUCAGAUCAACAUUAAUAAAUCUGUGAUUAUGGUGUGGCAAUUGUGCUUAAGUCAAGAUUUUACUUUUGUUUUGGUAACUGCUUCAACUAAGUUUUGAUGUCAUGUGCAUCAUAUGCUCUGUCCAUAUAUACAUACAUGUAUGAGUUAAAAGGUCAUUGAGUGUCUCUUUACAUGAAUUUCUGCAUAUAUCAUUCAGUGUGCAGUUCUUUGGCCUCUUUAUUUAUUUAUUUUAUUUUUGCAUUUUUUUUUAACUUUGGGUAUGACAUUAUACUGUCACCACUGAAACUGAUAAAACGAAGCAGGUCUCGAGAUUAAUCUAUACAAACUCAGGUGGUGCUAUUCUGGCAUUAUCAUCUAAUGCUGUACACAAGCUCUGGAAAUGGGUAAUAAGUGGUUGGAACUCAACAGCCAGGGUAAGGAGUCUUUUUUUUUUCCCUUUGAAAGUGGCAGGUUGUUUUAUUGUUUAGCGCAUUAUUGACUACAUUGAUUCUUCUUUUCGAAGGCCACAACUAGGGUAGUACCACAGUUAUGGCAACCUCCUAGUAGGAAUUUGAUGACCAAUGACACGAGAGGUAUAAAUCCUGAAGAUACAGUUUCGUGCUUUGCACUGUCAAAGAAUGAUGAUUAUCUAUUUUCAGCAUCAGGGGGGGACAUCUCUUUGUUCAAUCUGAUGACUUUUAAGGUGAAUAUUUGGAGCACUAUCCACAAGGCACGAGAUGAUGAACUACUCCUUUGUGCUGGAUAUGCAUUAGCUAUUUCCUUUUCACAUUUUUGUGGGUCCUAAUAGUAACUGAUUCUAUUAUGUACAAAAGUACUGAUCUCUAUAGUUAGGAGGUCCAUGAAAGCAACUGCUCCGACUUUCAUGUGGAUUAUUGGUUCAGAAGUGCAGCAUAUGUCCUUUUUUACUUGCCGAGUGAGACAAGGGCUUUACUCUAUCUUCAAUGGAAUCUUUUUGCUCUCACUAAUUAAAGAAAAAAGACGAGCUUUUUUCAUCCAUCCAAAGAUCUAAUGAUCGAACUUGCUAUCUCCCUUUCUUGGGAAGGGGAGAUGCCAUUGAGACAAGUGCCUCUUGGCACAUAUGUCCCACUGUUACUUAUAAAAUUACUCAAUACUCUUACCUGCUGAUAUCCAGGUGAUGACAACGAUUAUGCCCCCACCAACAAACAGUGACAUUAUUGCAAUAGGAAUGGACGAUUCCUCUAUUCAAAUUUACAGUGGUCAAGUAGAUGAGGUGAGACCUGAUUUCAUCAUCAUUGAAAGUUAACCUUAUUAGUAUUUGCAACAGAGUUAUGGAUAUUGACCGUUUCACUUUCUCAGGUCAAGAAAAAACUAAAAGGACAUCGGAGAAUAAUCAAUGGCUUUUCCUUCCCAACUUCCUUAACUGUUCUCGUGUCUUCUGGCACCGACUCUCAGGUUUCGGACUACUACUUUUUUACUAGCUAAGUGAGAAAAGGGCUUUUCUCUAUCUCCAAUGGAAUCAUUUUGCUUGUAAUGAUAAAAUUAAAGAAAGCACGAGCUUUUCUCAUCCAUCCAGAGAUCUGAUGGUUGAACUUGCUCUCUCUCUCCCUUUCCAAAGAAGGGAGAUGCCAUUGAGGCAAGUGCCUCUUGGCACAUAGGUCCCAUUGUUACUUAUAAAGUUGUUAAUACAAUGCUGCCUGCCGAUAUCCAGACAAUCACAACACUUGGGCCUCCACCCGCAGCAACAUUUAUGGCGUUCCAUCCUCAAGAUAAUAACAUCAUUGCAAUAGGAAUGGAGGACUCCUCUAUUCAAAUCUACAAUGUGGUAUUUGAUGAGGUGAGACCUGUUUUCAUUGUUGUUGAAAGUUACCUUGUUAUCUGCAAGAAAGUUAUGGAUAUUGACUGUUUCACUUUCUCAGCUCAUGGCAACACUAAGAGGGCAUCAGAAAAGAAUUACGAGCCUUGCCUUCUCUAAUGUCUUGAAUGUUCUCACGUCUUCUGGUGCUGACUCUCUGGUACCACACUACUAUUGCAUCUUACUUUCCAAGUAAACAUGCCUAAGUUUUAGGUGGAGAGCAAUGUAGUUUAUAGUGCCCCCGGAAAAGGGUUGAUGUUCACUCUCUGGAUUUAUUGAUGCUUAUGUCCUCAGCAUAGGUCAUGAAAUGAAGGCAUCCUUUACUGGCAGAAUAAAUCCUUCCAAAAAACUUCAUCUUUUGUGUUGACAAAUUAAUCCCUCCCAUUAAGUACGAAAAAAGAAGUUAUGAUGAUGUCCUGUUGUUGCUUACAACAGACCAUCGAUGUGAUUCUGAUAUGAAAACACAAUGGACAAUUUUAUUCAUUCAUUUCUGCAUCAAUGCCAAUAUCCCUUUUGAUGAUUGACUAUUAUCACUGCAGUUGUGUGUUUGGAGCACUGAUGGAUGGGAGAAGCAGGCUAGUAAGUUUCUGCAGAUGCCAAAUGGACGAGGAGUGGCUCCUUUUGCUGAUACUCGUGUUCAAUUUCACCUGGAUCAAGUACAUUUGCUGGUGGUUCAUCAAACACAGAUCGCCACAUGUGAAGUUCCUAAACUAGAACUCCUCAAGCAGGUAUUGAAGAUUUUUUUUUGUUGUGCACGAACCAAUCUGUCAUCUCAUCAUGAUUGCAUAAAAAUUAGAGAAUCGUUAGGUAGUAUGAGUUGCUUUGUGCCGAAUGUACUUUUUUUUUAUUUGUUGCUCAUCUCAACUAGUGGGAUACUCGAGAAGCUAGCGCUCCAAUUACAGAUGCUACAUAUUCAUGCAAUGGUGAAUCAAUAUACGUGAGCUUUGAAGAUGGAAGCAUCGGUGUUUUUACUGCUUCUACACUCAGAUUGAGAUGUCGUAUAAAUCCUGCCACUUAUAUCCCUCCAAACCCCAGGUAAGUUGGUUAUUUGCAACUCAGUUAACCUCAUUCCUUUAUGAAAUUGGCAAGUCUCAUUCGCAAAGUUUCAAUAGUCUCGCAAGUAAUUCAUUCCUCAUAAUGCAUUUGGCAGCUUUAGAGUCUACCCACUAGUCAUUGCAGCACAUCCAUCUGAACCUAACCAGUUUGCACUAGGGCUUACUGACGGUAGCGUCUAUGUACUUGAGCCAUUGGAAUAUGAAGGAGAGUGGGGUACUUUUGGGCCUAGCACGACCUUUGGUGCAACCGGUUCAGAUCAACACCAAAGGUAAUACAGGCCAUGUCUCUCCCUGUGAAACUUUUGAGCAUUAAAAUGCUGAGCCGGCUUUCCUCCACCGCACUUGAUUCAAGUUUUGAGGGAGAUGCUGCAGAGGGUAGAUUAUACAGCCUCAGGGUACUUCUACGGGACAUGGUUCAAUACAAUGUCCUAAUCGACUUCUGCUCAAGUCUUGUGGUGAUAAUUUGUUUUGUUGUAUUCAUAUAGGCUGAAUGAAAGUGGAAAAAGAAAAACAUAAGAUUAGAGUGUUGCUUUGAAGGUGUUAUAUAUUCAAAGUAGAGGUAGAGAGCAUACCUCAUUUUCUACGCAAUCAGUAAGGAUUUGAUUAUACUAGUUAACCAAUUAAUACAAUUUCGAUAUCUAAACUUAAUUAAUUUGUUAACUAAGUGUCCACAUAGUUUUUGACUAUUUAAUUAACUUGUGCCAUUAAAUAAUGUCCAUGCAUGAGUACACGAUCAAUGAAAAGUAAACAAUCACAAUCACUAGAUAGAAGUAAAGUAUAAGAAAGUAGAUCCAUUGGAGUGUCAACCGUAGAAUACACAUGGCUUUGUAUUAAGCCUCGGGCAACAACCCACGCUAAAUUCAACUUGUGUCCGAUUCAUUUUCUCAUAAACUACUCUACCUAAAUCUAACUAAAUUAAAGUUCUUAUUAAAAUCCCCUUCAACCUAUAUGUAUACUAACUAAAAGAAACUAAGCUAAAUCUAGCAUUAAACCUUAACGACCUAAUCAAGGUCUCUGUUUCUAACCAUUUUCCAAUUUUUCAUUUUUUCGAUUUUUUUUUAAUAAAACUUAAUUCUUAUCAUUUUCUGAAAAUAGGGACUCGAGCCGGGUCAGGAUAUUCGGCCCCCUCCAAUUCUAAUUCUACUGAGCCCAACCCAUUGCCAUGAUAACUGCUCCAGCCCAUCUUUUCUUCUAACUUCAGCAAGUGCAUCUUUAAGCCCGAUUUCUAUUAUAGAUAGAUUAAAGCCCACUCUAACCCCAUAUUAUUAUUAUUUUUAAAUCAACUUUCCUCUUUUCUUACAUCUAUAUAACAAGAAUACAAGAAAAAUUUAUGUUAUAACAACGAAUUUUAGUAAGAAUUGAAUCUGAAUGUUAAUGGACUUAGUUGUAACAAGCAAUGUAUGCUACAAUUUCUUCAAAUUGACCUAGAUCAGGAAUUAUUUCACUAAUGUAUCUUAGAGACAUUUCAUGAAAUAGUCUACGUGCACCAAAGGAAUUGAAUCUGGUCAUAAAUCGAAGUUUUGUUUUCAUCUUAAAUAAAUGCCAGAACCACGAAGCCAUUACAAAUCAUCAAAUUAUAGCCUAGAUCAUCGGUGAUUUUCACACGAGUAACCUGAACGUGGUCCAGUCAUGCAUCUUUCCAAAACUGGGCAGGAAAGAGGGGAAAGAAAUCCAGGAGUUCUCGGUUGAGAACUAAGGACUAAUGAACAAACUACGGGCUAGACAUGGUCUGGCUUCUGGGCAUUUAUGCGUCCGACUAAUACAAGUUGGGCUUAAUAGAGGUGGAUGGGCCAUGGCCCAUGGGCUUGGCUUAGACGAAUUGGAUCGAGCCCAUCGCAUGAAUGAUAUCCUUUCCAAUUAGUUGAUGAAUUGAAUAAGUCCCUUCAGUCAUUAUUUUUUGCAUUCUUCAUUUCGGUUUUAUUUAUUCAUAUCUUAACCGCCUAGAUUGCCGAUUUUCCUUAAAUUGUUGAUUAAAAAUCAAGUAUCCACAGCAGGUCCAAAACCUCAAAAUUGGCUGAAGCAAUUUCCUAAAAGUUGUUGUAAUCUUGAAGGUGCUACAAUUGAGAAAUGUUGACAAACCCUCUACAAAAGCUGCAAUGCCCAUUCUUCUUAGUCCAAGUAACUCCUAACAUUAAUUAUUUAUACUCUUUUCAAAAUAAUUCAUAUAUUUUUAGAGAGUCUUAAUAUGAAUGAGUUAUUUAGCAAUUUCUAUAAGAGUAGAAUUGUUAAUUCAAAACAUUCAAGCAAAGAAUUAUAAAAGGAGAUUGCCAAUAGCAUUGGGAGGCAAUUUGGUAAAAGAAGCAUUUAUAAGAGUUAUAACAAGUCGGAAUUCAACAAAAUGUCAAUCGAAGUGCUUAAUCAUGAAAAAGAAGAAGCAAUACCAAUAUCAAAAACCAAAGAGCUGUUAGCAGAAUCAAAAUUUCCUUUUCAUCUCCUGUUGGUGUAUAAACUUGUUAUUUAGUUCCGAAAAGAAUUAAAUAUAAAUGUAUGUAUAUUUUGUCACAUAGUUUAAGUAUUACUUUCAAGAAUGCUUUGAUUUGAUAGGUGGAACCAUAACAACUAAACUGGGAAAGGUCUUUCUUUAAUUUUCAUCGUUUGGCCGUGUGAUAUUUACAAUGUUAAUAAGUUCCUGAUAUUGAGAAGUGCUGUUGACAGUAGUUUUCCCUCAUCCUUACAAUGAAUGUCGAUACAGUGAAUAAUUAACCACAUUCAAGCCAUUCUCGUCUACUUGUCAAGCAUCUGCAAACAAAGUGAAACCUGCUUAUUUCCGUCUUCGACUGGGCUUCUUACUCUUUCUGGCUGAGGUUGACUGCUCCAAAGGCACUGGUAAUAGGGUUCCUCCCUUGACGCCAUCUUCAUCAUUCAUCUUAUCGAGAGUUUUCUGGGCUCCGAUAUACACCUUAAGGUCUCUAAUCUGUGAAGGAUGACAAGGGACAUACUACUGUCAACCCACUAUGCACGUGCAGAGUUUUCACUCUAUCAUAUCAAAACCCUACAAAUUAUUACCAUUUUAAGGCUAAAAGAAUAUACCUGUUCUUCUAAGUCAAGUAUUUGUUCAUCCUUCGACUUCAGUGACAGAGUUUUCCUGCAGAUGCACAGAAGCUUAUGUGUCCUUCAUUCAUGUCAAAUUAGAAGGGAAGAAUAAAUUCCCGACAGCUUUAACUGACUGGACUCAUCUACUGAAAAAGUUUCCGUACAAUCGAUAAUAAUGCUUAUUGAGGAAACUAGCCCACAUAACUUCAAUGAGGAUGGACAAGACCAGUAUACUUCAUAAGGCUGUAUGAAUCUCUCUACAAAGAAAAUGUUGUAGGCAUAUUACGGCACUUAAAAAGCAUCUACACCUACAUUGCUUGACAUGCGAAGCUCAAAUAAGCUUUAAGCCUGCCCAGUGUAUCUUCUUUUCCUUUUAUUUCUAUUUUGUGGAAGUUGGAAAUGUCAACAUAAUGCAGUAUAACAACCAUUUGAAUUUCAAUUGGAAUUAGUAAAAUUUCAAUGUUGAACUGUAUCAAUUAAAAUUUGAGUCCCGAACCAUCACAGAAUAAUGUUCAAAUUUCUUUAGUGUGUGAAAAUGUACUUUGAAAUUGAACCACCACCAUGAAGAUUUUAACAUUGAUUUCUGUCAAUAAAGUUCAACCUCUAAAGCAGUAGCGCUAGAACUUCAGAGGAAAACAAAAUUAGAGAUGGAGCAUACAUAAACAAAGGAACAAAAUUAUGGAGAGCACUGACUAAUGGAACUUUCUCCAUACGUGGUGCAUACUCUCCUUUCCCCUUUUCCCCUUUUUUGUCUCUUUCUCUUAUUAGAGUUUGUUCGAUCUCGCCACUUUUUUAGAAGAACUUCAAUAAAAAAUACCAAAAGCUACUUCAUCUUCUAGCCACAUCCUCCAAUUAAUGAUUAACUUAAAACUUAAUUAUCCUUCCCAAGUAUGGUGAAAGGAAAAUAUAUUAACUAUUUGAUAAAUUCUUACUCAGCAUAAAAUGACUUUUGUUCUUUUGCCAUUAAUUAUGUGUUACAAGUCACUUAUAGUCACUAUCACAUAGUUGAAUUAAAAGCUGUAUUUCCUCUUCCUUCUUCCAACUUUCACCUUUUUUACCUCACCUCUAAAAGUCCAUUCAAUGCGAACACUUCCUCUUAAUGAUACCAUUCUCACUUUUUUCUCAUCUUGUUGAAUGUCCGUUUCCACUUUCUCUCUCAUGACCAACCUCCCUUACAUGAACCAUGACUACAAUGCUGUUUCAUUUUACUAAUUAGGUUUUAUGAGACUAUGGAUGCUAUGGGAUUAUUUAUCUAGAGAAAUCAGCAAGGAAAAAUACCUCUCUUCAAUUUCCUUAACCUUUCUCCGCAUCAUAUCUUGGUUCUUGAUGAGAGUUUGAUUAAGCUGCAACCACAAGAAGCGACAUCUGUUACUGUUAUGUCCAAGAUUGUAAUAUUUAAAAUGAGGCAUGUGAAAAAUGAGCAAAACAACAAUCAGCCAUGGCUUCAGGUAGCCCUCCUCUCAAGCUUUAAACAUCCAAAAUCGCACAAGGCAAAACAGAGAAGACUAAACCCUUACCUCUGNNNNNNNNNNNNNNNNNNNNNNNNNNNNNNNNNNNNNNNNNNNNNNNNNNNNNNNNNNNNNNNNNNNNNNNNNNNNNNNNNNNNNNNNNNNNNNNNNNNNNNNNNNNNNNNNNNNNNNNNNNNNNNNNNNNNNNNNNNNNNNNNNNNNNNNNNNNNNNNNNNNNNNNNNNNNNNNNNNNNNNNNNNNNNNNNNNNNNNNUCUUUAAAGUCAGUCUAAGGAUGAUGGCCAUCUAUGUAACAAAAAAUGACAAACAUGGGUUAGAAAUGAAACACUAUCACCAACUGUAGCAUGGGCAGUUGAUAUAAAAACUAAUGGCUUUUGUAAUUCUACUUCGGAUACAGUAACAAGUUUUCAAUUCUGAUACUGUUCCUCCUAAGGCUCUCCAUCACAACAAGUCAAUAAAAAAAGAGUCCUGGAACCUUAGGGAAACUCAAUUCAUUUUCUUCUACAGAUAUAUUAAUGAGAAAAAAGAAAAGAAAAGAAGAAUAGUAGAAGUUUUGCAAUUCUCUGAAGCUGAUGCAAGCCCACUAAUUCUUUUAUACUUCCUAUAUAAGCUCAUCAGACACAUGCAGUAUGCAAAUUGACAGGUAUAAAAUGUUGUAUACCAUAUAAAAGCAAAUGAAGCUGAGAUUAUACAACACGAGCAUAAUUACUUUCCUUCUCUUCACAACAAUUCUGACAAUCCCAUAAAGUUCCAAGAGUUAAAUGAAUUCACUUAAAAAAAAACAAAAAAGAAAAACAAAAUGGAGAAACAUUUUUUAAUCUGAAAUAACUAAACAAAUGAUCUAUUAUGGUUUUCUCCUAAAAUGUGUACUUAAAAACCAUUACCUAAAGCAAAAACAUAAUUGAGGGAAGCCUUCACAAGUAAUGCUUAUAACCAUGGCUGAUCAGUCAAAAAAAUAAAAUGUAAAAGACUAUGUUAAGCAGGGAGAAUUGAAAUGGUCUACGUAUAUGCAUGCUUACUUUUCUUUGCGCUUCCAGCUGAGUUGAAGCUAGAUGAAUAUAGUCGGCGUGAAUCUACAAAAAAGUAAAGCUACAGUGUCAGAGUAAACAGAGAAAAUCUGAUAGUUACAAUGGAGGUAAUAUACAUUUUGCAGGCCCAAUAAUGAACAUGUGACAUUUGGCCAACAAAAUGAAUAUGUGAAGCACAAAACCAGAAACAGAAUCUUUCAUUAUCAUCUGUCAGUGCCUAUAACAGUAAAAGCAUCAUGCACUCAAAACUUCAAACAUCUCACUUAACUGAGUCCAAACUCCAAAUCUUUGCAGGGAAAAGAGAACCAGAAAACAAAGAUACUCACAGCACACAAAUAAGAGGACACAUGAACUUACUGCUUCAAUUUUGCUGCUGAAGAGCGCCCCACUAAUUUCAGAAUCCUCGCUACAGCCACAGCUACCACAAUCUCCUUCAAGUGAUUCACAGUAUGAAUUCAUCUCCAAAAGCUUGCCGUCAGCUUUUGAUUGAUUAAGCCGGUGAACGUAAGUGUCCCCAACAUAAUCCCAAAUUUGCUGUGUUCUUAAAUCUAGAGAAUAGCAAUGUUGCGUAUUUUUCCAAUGGCUGAUUGCGUGCUUAUCUUUGUAUCUACAAAGCCAGAAAAGAAAAGCUAUAAUGAAGACAGCCUAUCCAAUCACUAAACAUAUAGAGUGAGCGAAAAUUCCAGCACAUCAUGACUGGAUCUAUCACCUUCCACAUCCAACAAAACCACAUAUCAGACAAACCCAAAGAUUUUCCAUUGUUCCACAAAUAAAGCAGGAUGGCACCUCAUCUUGCUGUUGGCAUAGUCGGCAAACCUGAUAAAGGACAGAAACAGAUCUUCUUCACAAUCAGUUAACAGAGGGGCAUCCCUGAUGAUGUUGCAAAAUGAAACUACAUUUCCGAUAAAGGUAAUUUCUUGCAAUCAAAACAAGAUAUAUGCCCUAAUUGACAUCUUUAGCAAUGUAAUUGGACCUUGCAAUAAAAUCAAAGUAAGACCCUUGGGACAUCACCAGCAUGGGGGAACAUCAUGUUGACUUAUUUUAACCAUAAAGAUUGACGAAUCAAGCAAAAGUCGGUAUGCACAUGUCCAUUGAUAUAUCUCCUAUAUGGCACUUUUUCACCUUUUGAUAUUACAUGAGUUCAAAGGUACUUUUUUGCUACAAAUUCACAUGGACAGAGCAUACUAGAACAUCACUUGAAAUGUAAAAUAUGACAAUGUAACAUCUUAGUUUCAAGACAGGAUAUGUUUGAGGUCAAAGAUCAGAAUUUUGACAUCAGUAUGAUCACCCUGUACUUGUGAGUACACACAUAACUUAUUGUGUAUGCUUGGCCACUGCUAUUACUUCUGUCACUCUUUGACUCACAAGAAAUUUGAUACAGGAGUGACAGACCAUCAGAUCAAAUACACGUGAUGAGACAUUGAAAAGAUUCUUGUGUCAGAAUAUGAUAAUCAACAAAAAAUAACUCCAAGAAGCCACAGCAUUCACCUAUUCCAAAUCUCCAAAUAAAUGUCAUGAUAAUUUAAAAGAAAUCCUGAACUUAGGAAGCACAAUAAAGUAAAGGAAAAUUCUACUGUUCAUUCAUAUACUCUUCAUGCUAUUUCUAAUGAUGUCUCCAUACUUUUAAUUUGCCUAAUCAAGUCCUUCUAUUUUAACAAACUUUCCAAUCAAGUCUUUCCGACACUAAAUAUGACCAAAUUUAACUGAAGUGGCUGUUCGACGAUGACGACAUAUGAUGCCGAUAAAAUAUGCAGAUGCCCACAUGGACAUGUCUGGAAAAAUUUAGCCAAUGUAGACGACCUCAAAGUGCAACAUGGAUAAAACAAUGGACAUCCACGUCCCACAACAGAGACAUCUGAUGGUCACACCAGCUGAAUUUGGCCUGAUUUGGUUUGAUUAGAAAAUUUGUAAAAGUAGAAAGACUUUAUUUAACAAAUUAAAAGUACAAGGGACUUGAUUAGAAAAAACGUGAAAGUUCAGGAUAAAAACAAUACUGCCGCAAUUGCUAUAGCUAAUAUUAAUUAUCAAAAAGCAACAACUAAUCCACAGUCAGCAGAUCAACAGAAAGAUAGUGGCAGUAGCUGCGAAAUUACAGUCUAAAUUCAUCUAAUCUGUAUCAGCAGAAGAAUGCCUAACCUGACAAGACUAGUAAGUCCAUUUUGUACCACACGAGCAAUGAAAGGAAUGGUCACAAUUUGUACUCAAAAUUCCGCUGGUAUCUGGGUCCAAUCUCUCUGACAUUAGAAAAAAAAAAAGAAUUAGCAACUGUGAACAACUUUCUAGAAAUUCAUCUCACUGCAAGGGAAAUAUAAUCAGCAAGGGGGCACUAGCAUGGCUUACCACCCACAAACUGGACAAGAGGAUAGCUCUGUAAAGCCCGACGGGGGCGUGCUAGCUACAUCAGCUGAUUCCGUAUAGUCCACUUCGUGCAGAAAUAGAAUAUGGCAUACCUCAGCCUGAAUGUCCAGAAGACGAGUAUUAAAAGUGAAACAGAAAUUGACUAUGACAGGUGCAAAAAUUGCAAAUACCUCAGCAGGCGAGAAAUUCUUGCCAUUGAAGGUGCAAUAGAAACCAUCAGCAGCCUUUUGAUCGGUAAGCUCGAUCAGCACACUGUACCUAUCUUCCAUCCCAUCAUUCCUACAUCAAACGCACAAUUCGCAAUACAACGAUCACUAAAACCAUUAAAAAGCAUUUAAAAAAGAACCCAGAUCGGAAAACCCAGUUCCACCGUCGGAAUGCUUCCAAAAAAUUGAACUUUCAUCAUCGGACACCCCCUAAGGCAUGAUCAUGAGCAAAUUUUUGAGUUUCGAGUCCAUCUUUUAGAUUUUUCGUCAGCGAAUUCUAAUUCCUCGAAGUCUCUCUUUCGCUUGCCCAAUUCAUCUCACCAACUGAAAAAACCGGUCCGAAGUCCCGAAGAAGAGGAGGGCAGAAAACAGAAAUGAUCGAAGCAUUACCUGAUGAACGGGAGCUCGGAGAAGUCGUCGAUCCGGGGGCCGCAGAACCGGAUGAAGUCGUCGGGGGAGAAGUAAUUGGGGACGGCGACGACGAAGAGGGUGGUGGAGCGGGCGCCGGGGCUCGAGAGGGGCGCGCGCAACAGCGUCCGGAACAGGUGCACCAUGCCCCUCCGCUCGGUGAACCUGGGAUCCCCGGCGGCGGCGGCGGCGGCAGCGGCGAGGAGGAGGAGAAGCCGCCGUAGUCGGUGGCGAGGGGGUGGUCGGUGUCCACCGAGUGGCGCCCGGAAGAAGAACAUUUUUAUUCAUUUCGGGUGUUCGAAAUAUUAAAAUAAAAUAAAAACUAAAUUUGAAAUUGAUAAUACGUAAAUUGUCAUCCGAUUUCAUUGAUAUCAAAUUACUUUUUGAUUGAGCAAGUCGAGAAUCAUGUGAAUUAUGGUAAGAAGUAUGUUAUGUGAUUGCUUAUGAACCACAUAAUUUUGUAAUCAUCUCAUUCUCAUUUAUUAUUAAAAUGAUCAUGCAUCCGGAUUAAUAUUUGUAAUGAAUUUUAUAAACAUUGAAAAAGUAAAAAAUGAAAAAGGCCUAAAUUGGCCUAGUCGUGUAUUCUAUUUCUUUUGCUUCAUCUGACAAACAAAACAUGACUAAACAAGCUAGAUUACUCCUAGAUAUUCUAAAAUUGAAAUGCAAGAGCAGCCGAGUGUCUAUUCGACAUAAAAAUUGCUAUUAUAGGUUAUUAUUAUGCAAAACUAGUUUGGACCAACAUCAGGACUAAUGUAUUGCUCAAGUUCACUCAUAAAAUGAAUCAUAUAUAGAAAUGUUGGGACACGGCUCAGGUGAAGGUCGGGCAAGCUAGGAUUUUUUACUGUAAGGAUAUAUUAUAGUCCCGGGGUCAUGUCUCUCAUUGUGAUGUUGCAGAGGGUAGAUUUUAUAGUCGCGGGGUCUUUCUCCUGACAUACUUUAGCACGAUUUGUCUUAAAGUGGUACAAUUAACAUCCUCAUCGACUUGUAGAUUUUAUAGCCUCGGGGUCUUCCUCUGGACAUAGUUUGGCACAGUCUGUUUUAAGUGGUACAAUUAGCAUCCUAAUCGACUUCUGCUCAAGUCUAGUGGUGAUAAUUUGUUUUAUUAUAUUCAUUUAGGCCGACUGAGAGUGAAAAAGAAGACUAACCAAAAAAAAAAAGUGAAAAGGAAGAACAUGAAUUGGAUACAGAUUUAUCUGAUUUUAGUUAGCAAGCUAAAGGAUCAUAGGAACAGGGUUUAGUUUUCGCAGGUGGCUUCUUCUCUUGUUCCUUUUGCGUCGUGCUGAAAGUACUUUUCUUAUGUAUUUUAUUUAUUCUUUUUAAUUUGCUGAAGUAGCAUUUGUAAGCACUUAGCAGGUUCUCUUUUCUUAUUCUUUCGCCACCAAAAAACAAAAUCAUCUUCUUCCUCUGUUCCUAUUAUGAACGUGAUUUGAGUGCAACAGCACUCAGACCUUGGAUGAAUGUAAAUACUUCGCCAUGGUCUAUCUCGACAUUUUGCUUACUGGACCGCAAUCUUUGGGAAUCAAGUUCCAUCUUUUUGAGGAUGAUAAUCUUUAACUGCAGUCGGUUAAACACUGUAUCCUUGGGGACACAAGUCGGUUAUUUCUCCGGCUUUUACAGUUAACAGAGUUGAUUUUUUCAUUUGCAAAUGGACACAGAGCAGGUAGGAGCAUGACGACGAGCCUCUUUUGAUCUCAUCUAUAUUCCUAUCACCCUUCCCUUACUACGCUAACACCCACCAAAGACUACUUUCUCUCAGCACAUGAGCCUCUAUUGUCAUCGCAAAGUGCUUGCACUUCAAACAAAUGCAGAAGUAAGAUGUGCAAUCUAAGAGUGUCUGAUUUGAUUCGCAUACAGCAGGUUCAACCCUCGGCAAGUUUGGAUGUUGCAUCUUAAAAGGCACAUUCUUCUAAACGGCUGAAUUUGCAGAAUCAAUAGCAAAGUGAACCUAGUGGGCACGUUUUCUCCAGACAUUUCCACAAAAUUUGGAAUUUGUUCCCCUUACAAAUAGGAACGAUACUGGGUUUUCCUCUUUACCAAAAAAAAAGAAAAAAAACGAUACUGGGUUUUCCCCCUUAUGAGAAGAUGUUCUUGACCUGGGAGUUUGGAAGGGAGUAAGUGCCACUUAAAAGCUGUUGUAGUUUUGGAGAUGGUAUCAAACGACCUCUCAAAAAAGUAAUCUCUGUACGCCAAACAUUAAUUAUUUUGUCCUUUUACAAAAUCAUUCAUAUAUUUUUAGACAGUCGUUGAAUAAGUUGGGAGGCAAGUUGGCAGAGCGAGCUUUUUUGUGAGGUGUAAUAAGUCAGAGUUUGACAUUAUAUGGAUCAAAGUCUUUAAUCACGAAUAAAGAAAUGGCAAUACCACAAUCACAAAACUGAGGGCAGUUGGUAUAAUGGAAAUUUCAUUUAAAACUACUGUUGGUAUAUAAACUUUUUUUUUUUGGUUCCAAAGACAAAAAUUAUAAAUAUAUUACCAUAGUAGAACAACAUAUAGAAAAACUGAAGUUGAGAGCUAGACUUUUUAAAUUUUGGGGAAAAAAAGUUUCUACAAUAAGUUUUUAGGUACUACUUUCAAGAAUGCUUUGAUUUGAUUUGCGGAACUGUAACAAUUAAACUGAGAAUGGUCUUUCUUUAAUUUUCAGCGUCUGGCCGAGUAUAUGCAUUUACAAUGUCAAUAAGUGCCGGACACCGAAACUCAAUUGAAGAGGAGGACUGGGGAAAGUCAAGGAGUUGCACCAUCCACAACCCCUCCAAGUAUAGAGGUUCUGCAGAACGCUGGGCAGUGAAAUACCACCCUCGGGCCCCCCUUGCGUCCGCAGAUGCUGCUAACAGUACUUUUCCUUCCUACUUACGACGAAUGUCAAUAAAAUGAAAAAACAAUUAACUACAUUCAUGCCAUUCUUGUUUACUUAUCAAGCAUAUGCACACGAAGUGACACCUGCUUAUUUCCGUCUUCGGCUGGGCUUCGUGCUCUUUCUGGUUGGAAAUGAUUACUCCAAACGCACGGGUAAUAGGGUCCUCCUUUGACGCCAUCUUUAUCAGUCAUCUUACUGAAUGUUUUCUGGUAUCCAAUAAACACCUUAAAUUCUUUGAUCCGUUAAAGAUGACAAGGAACAUAUUGCUGUCAACACACGUUACAUACACAUUGCGGUUGCAAUAUUAUGAAAACCAUAUGAAGGAAUAAAGUUUUGAGGUUCAGAAAAUGUACCUAUUAAUCCACAUUCAUUAUCUUUUCAUUCUUCGACUUUAAUGACAGAAUUAUCCUGCACGUGCGAAGAAACCGUAUGUGUGCUUCAUUCAUGUCAAAUCAGAUGGGAGGACUAAGUUCUCCAGACAGCUUUAAAUUGACUAAACUCGUCUAGAAGUUGCAUCAUGUACAAUCGAUAACUAUGCUUAUCUAGGAAGAUUAGCCCACAUAACUCGAAUGAAGAUGAACAAGAUGAGUAUACUUUAAAAUGCUACAUAAUUAUUCUCUAUGUUGUAUGCAUAUUUUUUUUUUGGUCAGUCAUGUUGUAUGCAUAUUAAGGAACUCAAAAGGCUUCUAAACCCACAUUGCUCAAUCUAUGAAGCUCGAAUAAGGGUUAUGUCGACCAAGAGCAUAUUCUUUUCCUUUUAUUUUCUAUGUUCUCGAAGUUGGAAAUUUCAACACUACGCAUCAUGAACAACCAAUGAAUUGUUAUUGGAAUUAGUAAAUUUUUAAUGUUGCAAUUAAAUUUUAGUCCCAAACCAUCACAGAAUUAUUUGCAAAUUUUUCUAGUGUGCAAAAUUGUACUUUGAACUCGAACAAUGACCGUGGAGUUUUAAACAUUAACUUUAUGCCGAUAAAGUUAAACCUCUAAGGCAAUAGCACUAAAACAUCAAAAGGGAAACAAAAUCACAGAUGAAACAUACAUUAACAAAGGAACCAAAUAAGAGAGAGGUCGUCCCGUCUCGCCACUUCUUUGAAACUUCUUCAAAAAAAUUCCCAAUAACUACCUACUUCAUCUUCUUGCCACGUCCUCUAACCAAUAUUAACUCAAACUUGGUCAUUUCCCUCCAAAGUAUGGUGAAAAGAAGGCAUAUUAUCUAUUCGAUAAAUUCUCACACGACAUAAAAUGACUUAAGCAGGCAUAUUAUCUAUUCGAUAAAUUCUCACAUGACAUAAAAUGACCUUUCCUUGUGCCUUUAAUGAUGUGUCAUAAGUCAUUUAUAAUCACAAUUCAGAUAUUUGCAUUGGGUGUUGUAGUUUCUCUAUCCUCUUCCAACUACUUUCACCCUUUUUACCUCAAUUUGUGACACCAUCUAAAGGUUUAAACUAUGUGAACUCUUCCUCUUCACAUUACCAUCCUUACUUCUUUUUUUUAUCUUCUCAAAUGUUAUUCCGACCUUCCCUCUCAUGACCGACCGACCUAACUUAAAUGAAUUAUGACCGGCAUUGACUUGGGCCGUUAGGUCCAGCAUGAUAGAACUCAGGCGGGCCGACCCUAACCCGAAUCUCUCUUCAACUGAAAUUCACAUGCCACAUGGCACGCUUCCAUUAGUUAAAAUCCUCGCUGUCUACAAUAGAACAUAUGACGCCCAAUGGUCUAGUCAAUUUUCGUGAUAACUGUGUGGGGAGCACAAAACUCUAGUUUAAAAAAAAAAAAAACAAAACAAAACAAAGCUAUUCUACCACCUCCUAAUCAUUACAUGUUCCCGUCUGCUCAAAAAAAAAAAAAAAAAAAAUCAUUACAUGUUCCCACUCCUUCGCUGGUCGCGCCGUCGACCAUCAAUCUCAGGAGGAUCACGUUUGUUCAUUUCAUCGAGAGCACCAUUCCAGAACUAUUUUAAAUUAAAAAAAAAAUGGAGCAAGGAAAAUUCAUCUCGAAAAGGCGAUUCCGUUCGAUUCAGUUGGCGAUUUCAAGCGUUCUGAAUUGAUACCAGUGGCGGUCGCCCGCGUCAACAGCCUCUUCAAUGCCGCGACUCAUCUCCUUCGUUUCCCUUCCGCGGCCGAGAGCUUCGAAAUGUUGUCGUUCCGCUCGAAGCUUCUCCACCUGUUCAGGUUUCGAUCAUCGACACGUUCUAUAGCUUCUUUCGGUGAUUCGUGCGCCAAACCGCGGCCUCAGUCCACUUGAUUAACCGGGUAGCAUCUCCUGUUCUGUCGUCACAAGUAAGAGGCCGAGAGUCCGAUUCUCUUAUUAUGAUGAAAUUGAUCAUAGCUGACUUUUUUUUCUUUGACUUCGAACAUCAUGUACUGAUUUAGGUUGAGUCUAGUUACAAAUUUGGGUUCGAAAUGGCUUUGAUCUGUUCCACAACCGAUUCACCAUAAUCUGUUCGAUGAAAUGUGUCUGAGACCUUGGUGUGAAUUGAUUCCAGUAAUCGUCCGAUUUGAAAGCACAUUAGUGAUGUUCACUUGAUAUUGUUUGAUUUUUUAAUCUUUAGACAUGAUUACGAGUAUACACCAAUAGUUGCCAAGGAUUAAACUGACUCUCCGUUUGUUUCCUCGGUGGUUCCUGUGAUCUUUUGGUGAUUGGUGGUGGUUGGCGAGACGAGAAGGCUUGGAGUCACUGGCACACGCGUGAUCUUUGGUGAUGAUCAUAGUACACCCUGUUGAACAGAAUUGAGAUGAUGUCGCUGAGCAUGAAUCGCGAUCACGCCAAUUCAGAUCACUAACUUUGGCCAACACAUGUUUCGGUCACUAACUGGAGCAAUGUUAUGGCUGAUUGCUAGCCGUAUCCUUGCUGCUGAGUCGCCCCACAAUGUCUUCGACCGCAGAGCUUUGCUUCUGUCCAUGCCUUGCAGUCCAUCAUUGCCAUUGUAAUUGCCGUGGUAAACCUACCUUGCCAUACAGCCAUACGUUAGCGAUAUGGAUUGAUGUACCGAUAGAGCUAUUAUCCACUGCGUUUUGUUAAAAAUCGGAUCACCUCAUACCGGUGGCUUGUUUCUGGUCCAACUGAUUUUUAGAGUUGACUGUAUGUUCAGAUUUCCUUCACCCCUUUGUUUUUUGUGUUCAGAAUUUUGCGCAUCUUCUUAAACCGAAUCAUGGGAAAGCUAAGCUGUUCAAAGUCCAGUCGUCAUGGGGUCAAUACUUUGUCACAAAAUCGUUACAUGUUACCUGCUUCGCCAUUCCUGUCCUGUCCUUUGGUUAUUGAUUACUCCACCUUCGUCAAUUUCAUUGUCCAGAAGCAGGUAAUAAAUCUGAGAACAACCACUGAAAUGAUAUUUUAUUUGUGUUGUCUACUUCCUGCUUUAUUCUCUGUGCAUGACAUAUUCUACUUCACACGUGCUGUCGAGGGAAAUCAUGGUCGACAAUCAAUAUGAAGUGAGCAAGUUAUAUUUACUCUCUGUCAUUAGUUGAUAAGCUUUUGGGUAUGACAAUCAAGGAAUGAAACCAGUUAGUAGCUUGCUCAGAAUUAGUAAAUGAGGAUUUAUUUCUUUCUUGGAAGUGUCAAUGUCAUUGCUUUGUCUCUGAUCGUGGAAAGAGUUUAUUGUUCUUUUUGAACUUGCAUAAAAAUCGAUGGAAUGCUAAUGAAGCAGUGGGAUACCCGAAAUUUACAAGUUUUAUGAAUUGGUGUGUCCUGUUUUUGCAUAUGCUGUAGUUUAGCGGUUAUUGUUCAUCUAUGUUUGCUGAACCGUUUGAUUUAUCACUUUCAAUUAACAAGAUUUUGAUAAAGACACGUGACAGUUGUGAGAGAUGCAUUGAAACUGGCACUUUGGUGAUGACAGUGCUCCUUCGUGUCACACUAUGUACUUGUUUUUAGGAAAAAUCAUUUAUGAUGUUGGAGAAGUGAAUAUGUGUUGAAGGUGCCAACCCCUCGUGAUCUUGGACCCACUCGUUGAAGAAAUGGAGAGGUAUAAACGUAAUUACUUUCCUUCUCUUCGCAACAAUUCUGCCAUUCCCAUAGAAGUUCCAAGAGUACAAUGAGGUCACUUAAAAAUAAGAAAACAGAAAAUGGAGAAACAUUUUGAAUCGGAAGCAACUAAACUAGUGUUCUAUUAUGGUUUUCUCCUAAAAUAUGUGGUGCUUAGAAUCAUUGAGAGAGAGAGAGAGAGAGAGAGCUUUCCGGAGUAAUGCUUACAACCGUGGCUGAUCAGUCAAAUAGCACAUUGGACAAUGUACAAGACUAUGUUAAGCAGGGAGAAUUAAGAUAGGUAUCCGCGUGCUUUAGUUUCUUUGCGCUUCCAGCUGAGUUGAAGCUAGAUGUAUAUAGGCGGCAUGCAUCUAUGAAACAGAAUAUCUACAGUGUCAGAGUAAACGAGGUAAGUCUGAUAAUUAUAAUGGAGGUAAUAUACAUUUUGCAGGCCCAGUAAUGGACAUGUGACGUUUGGCCAACCAAAUGAACAUAUGAAGCACAAAACCAGAAACAAAUUCUUUCAUUGUCUCACUUGUCAGCACCGGUAAAAGCAUCACGCACCUGCAAACUUCAAACAUCUCACUUGACUGAGUCCAAACUCCAAAUCUUUGCAUGGAAAGUAGAAUUGGAUAACAAAAAUGUUCACAGCAUACAAAUAAGAGGGCGCAUGAAGCUAUUGCUUCAAUUUUGCUGCUGAAGAGCACCCCACUAAUUUCGGAAUCCUCGCUGCAACCGCAAUUACCACAAUUUCCUUCAAGUGAUUCACAGUAUGAAUUCAUCUCCCAAAGUUUUCCGUCAAAAUUUGAUUCAUUAAGUCGAUGAAUGUAAGUGUCCCCAACGUAGUCCCAAAUUGCUGCGUUCUUAAAUCUAGAGAAUAGCAAUAUUGUGUAUUUUUCCAUUGGCUGAUCGCGUGCUUAUCUUUACAUCUACAAAUCCAAAAACGAAAAGCUGUAACAAGACAGCCUACCAAAACACUAAAAUAUAGACCGAAGAUGAUCAUACACCUUCCACAUCUUCCAAAACCACAUAUCAGACAAACCCGAAGAUAGAGCAAAUUGAGAUAGAGCAGAACGAAAUAUUCUUCAGAGUCAGUUCACAGAUGGGCAUCCCUGAUGAUGUUGCAAUAUGAAGCCACAUAUGCGAUAAUGUUUAAUUCUCGCAAUCUGAUCAAGUAUGCGCCAUACUUAAUAUCUUUAGCAAUGUAAUUGAACCUUGCAACAAAAUCAAAGGAACACCCUUGGCACAUCACCAGCAUUGGAGAAUAUCAUAUUGACUUAUUUUAAACAUAAAGAUUGACGAAUCAAGGAAAGGUUAGUAAGCAUAUAUCCAUUGAUGGUUAUCCUAUGUGACACUUUUUCAUCCUUUGAUAUAUACUCGAGUUCAAAGUUACUUCUUUGCUACAAAUUUACAUGGAUGGAGCAUUAGCACAAUCAGUGGAAUAUAGCUUAAAAUGUGAAAAAUGACCAAGCGCCAUAUUGUCUAACAGCCAGAAGUUUGAGAUCAAAGAUCAGCGCUUUGACAUCAUUAUGAUAACCUAUGUCAACAGUGAGUACUUAAGUUCAAUGCAUAAAUUCGAUAAUUUAUUAUUGGCCAGUGCUAUUGUGAUACCCUUGGACUCACAAUAAAUUGGACACAACGGUGACAAGACCAUUAGAUCAAAUAAUCAUAAUGAGACACUGCAAAUAUUCUUGUGUCAAAGUAUAAGAAAAAUCAAAAAACUUAGUCCAAGAAGCCACACCAUGGACCUAUUCCAAAUCAUCAAAAAAUGUAAUAAUCAUUUAAAGUGUUGAUAAAACCUCCAUAUAUAUAUUUUAAAAUUAACAAAACUAUCCAUGUUUGUAUUGAUCUUGGUAAUCGCAAAAAAGGCAUUUGUGUUUUGGGUACUAUCCGUGUCGAAAGGAUUCUUCUUGUCUAAUAAUUCUUAUUAAACAAAGAAUGGAGAGUUUAUAUAUGUGUGAUAUUAGCAAGUGACCUGCAUGAUUCAGCAAGUNNNNNNNNNNNNNNNNNNNNNNNNNNNNNNNNNNNNNNNNNNNNNNNNNNNNNNNNNNNNNNNNNNNNNNNNNNNNNNNNNNNNNNNNNNNNNNNNNNNNNNNNNNNNNNNNNNNNNNNNNNNNNNNNNNNNNNNNNNNNNNNNNNNNNNNNNNNNNNNNNNNNNNNNNNNNNNNNNNNNNNNNNNNNNNNNNNNNNNNNNNNNNNNNNNNNNNNNNNNNNNNNNNNNNNNNNNNNNNNNNNNNNNNNNNNNNNNNNNNNNNNNNNNNNNNNNNNNNNNNNNNNNNNNNNNNNNNNNNNNNNNNNNNNNNNNNNNNNNNNNNNNNNNNNNNNNNNNNNNNNNNNNNNNNNNNNNNNNNNNNNNNNNNNNNNNNNNNNNNNNNNNNNNNNNNNNNNNNNNNNNNNNNNNNNNNNNNNNNNNNNNNNNNNNNNNNNNNNNNNNNNNNNNNNNNNNNNNNNNNNNNNNNNNNNNNNNNNNNNNNNNNNNNNNNNNNNNNNNNNNNNNNNNNNNNNNNNNNNNNNNNNNNNNNNNNNNNNNNNNNNNNNNNNNNNNNNNNNNNNNNNNNNNNNNNNNNNNNNNNNNNNNNNNNNNNNNNNNNNNNNNNNNNNNNNNNNNNNNNNNNNNNNNNNNNNNNNNNNNNNNNNNNNNNNNNNNNNNNNNNNNNNNNNNNNNNNNNNNNNNNNNNNNNNNNNNNNNNNNNNNNNNNNNNNNNNNNNNNNNNNNNNNNNNNNNNNNNNNNNNNNNNNNNNNNNNNNNNNNNNNNCAAUUGAAAGUCACAUUUCAUAUUCUUCCCUAAAAUAUAUUUUGUUUUAUCUUUCAUAAUAAAAUUGUCAUUACUAUAUGCAUCUUCUUGUUUAUUUCUCAUAACGAAGCGCAUAACCAAUACACUAUCGUCCUCAUGAACUACAUUGUCUACCAAAUUAACAUGUCUUAUCUUAUUUUAUUUUCUUUUCUUUUAAAUUGAGGUAUUGCAUUAAACAUCUUAACAAAUUUUAUUCUAUUUAGGAAACAAAAAGUAACCAUUUGGUUAAGAUAAUAUAUUUAUGACAGUGUAAUUGGUCAAGGUGGCGACAUUAUUGUAUAGUCAGUUCAUACUAUCGGAUCACUAAUGACAGUGACUUAUAACGAGUAUUGCUCAUUAAUUUUCUUUUCUAUAUUUUGUUAUUAAUUAAAUAUGCAAGUCCAGUAAGGUGUGCUCAAUCUCGACUAUCAAUAAAAGAUUCAUGUGCACUUGCUCGAAUAUUCAGAUUUAUGGAUUUUAUUGAUCAUAUGUUGUUGGACGAUGUCAAUUACAAAGUUUGGAUUAUUUAAGGUUCGGGCCAAGAUGAUGUGGCAUUAACAUAUAUUCCCAAAAUAUGAACCCAAUAUACCAACAACUCAGGAAGGGCCAGGAGUUUGUGAAAAGAAAAAAGAAGGUUGACCAAAAUUAUCUCGUUUAGGUCAUGGGUGGAUUUAAUGUAAUGUAUAACUCAAUUAGUUGUUGAUUGUGUAAACAAGAUCGUCGUAAUCAUCCAAUUUGCCCAAUCAAGGACAAACAAAUCUUCUCAUAUUUACCAUCAAUCGAUUUUUAAUUAUCUUGAUAAUCUAAUAUCCAUAUAGUAGAUUCUUCAGAAUUGUUACUUUAUUAAAUGUGCUAAUAUGCUUGUAACUCCAUUCAAACUGGGAUAGAGAGCCUAAUCUGAUUCCCAUCUUUAGUAAAAUCUUCACGUCUAAUUUUCAAAGGCCAUUAAACAGCAGAAAAGAAGUGGCUCUGUGUAGAGGGUUUGCAUUACGGUUUUCUAAUAAAUUAGGUAUCCUCUUCAAAAUUAUAUGCCAAUGAGUAUAUCAUUAUCAUUAAACGCUGCCGUAAUCUACUUUAUUUAUUUAUUUACUAAAAUUUGUUGGCGGAGAAUACGCACCUACCGCAUAAUGUUGCGGAAAUAAUAACCCAAGGAGUAAUGUUUUUGUGAUUGACUCGUGUAGAUUUGCACCGGAAUCAUGGGAGUAUUGCUAAUGCUGGUUAGUUUUCUUUUAUAUUUCUCUUAUUAACGAAACAGCAAAGUCAAGUCAACAAGCACGAGCAUAGGAUUCUUUCACGCACCUCCUGCAAACUGCUGUGGAAAUUACGCGUGCAUUGAUUGACCUGUGGAAAUUGGUUUUGGUGAGAAUUGACGGUUGGUCUUCAUUUUUAUUUCUUUAUUAGUAGAAAAAGCAAGUCAAGUCAAAAAGCUUAGGAUGGUCCCCACGCUUGCUGCAAAAUGCAGUGGAAAUUACGCGGGCAAUAGUUGCCCUACGGUUGUCUUUUCUAUUUCUCUUAUCGAUACAGAAGGCAAGGCAAGUCAAAUCAAGGUCUUGCUCGCUUUGGAUAAAUAAAAUGUUUAGAAAUAAAAUAUCAUUAACAUUGGAAAUAUUUGUUAUUAAUUAAAAUAAUUAAUUAAUAUAAAUAAUCAUUUAAAAAAUAUAUUUUAAAUGAUAUGAUGAAAUUAUUUUUUAUUAACUAGUUAUUUCAAAUAAUACAAGUAAACAUAAGAUUUAUCAUUUCAAAAAUUGACUUGUAUUUCUCUAAAAAAUUAAUCAAUAAAAAAUAUUUUCAUUAUCAAUGAUAAUUUAUAUUUAAAUAUUUUCAUGAACAAUUCAUUUAUUAAUUUUAGUAAGUAAUAUAAAUGAUUAUUUUUAAAAUAAUAUUUUUUGAAUUAUUUUUAUCUUAUGGAACAAAUGCACGCUAAAAGCUCCAAACAAAUGUUAAACUGAUGUGAUGAAGUAUUAAGGUGCCCUAUCAAGGACCCCAAACGUUAAAUCCUCGAAGUUGCCAUACAGCUUGUACCUAUCAAAGAAACUCAAAAAUCUACCCACACUGAUAUGAACAAGACAAACUGGUGGACUAGAGAGAGCCUUGUAAGAUGAACCAAAGAUAAGGAUGGAAUCUUGAACACCCAAUGAAACAAGAGAUACAGAUAUCACAAGAUAAGGCUCAAAAUUCAUUUAUAAUAUGUUUUGUGGUGUGUUUAGGCCAUAGACCGAUCAUAUCUUUCAUUCUCAUUGGAUGCGCAGGAAUCCAAUAUCCUAAUAUAUAAUAUAGGUGUGUUUCAAAGGUUGUGGUCUCCGAAUAUGCAAACAUUUUUUUUUUCUAAUAAGGUGCUAAUUUGUCUUUACCUAGUGUGAGUGGAAAUCCAUCACUGACCUCACCAGUAUUUUCCAUGAUCUAAUUUCAAAUAGUAGAAGAUUAAUGGGCAAGUUGAGCCUAGAAAUCCUUGCCCAACAUCAAUCAUGAUUAAAGAAUAGGAAAAUACUACCAACCCCAGGUCUAUAGGGAGAGAAUUUAUCUUUUGUUUUUUCAUUCAUCUUUUUUAGUUUUUGCCGCACUCUUAGUUUAAUAUUCCUUGAUCUUAUGCAAUUAAAAUAUUUGCACUCACAUUAAGGACCCAAUUGCACUAUCACUUGAAUUAUUUUCCUAAAAUUAACUAUUUAUAUCAUUUAAAAUAAUUAAUUAAUAAAAAUAUUUUAAUUAUCAAUGAUAAUUUAUAUUUAUACAUUUUGUAUUUUUUUUCAAAGCGAGCAAGACUUUGACUUGACUUGUCGUGCCUUUUCUAUGAAUAAGAGAAAUAGAAAAGAAAACCAAAGGGAAAUCAUUGCCAGCGUAAUUUCCAUUGCAUUUUGCAGAAGGUACCGGGGACCAUCCUCUGCUUCUGGACUUGAUGUACUUUUUCUACUAAUAAAGGAAAUAGAAAUGAAAACGAACAAGCAAUUCUCCACCAUCUAAUUUCCACAGGGCAAUCAAAUGCACGUGUAAUUUUCACAGCAGUUUGCAGAAGGUGCGUGGAACCAUCCUGCUCUGGUGCUUCUUGACUUGACUCUGCAGUUUUCUGUUAAUAAGAAAGAUAGAAAAGAAAACUAAGGGCGCGUUUGUUUUCACUUCUUUUUUUUGUUUUUAAACAACUUUUCUGUUUUUCUGUUCCUGGGAACAAAAAAGGAACAUAAACGCAUUUGGGUGCGUUUUUGUUCCAAAAUUGUUUUUUUGUUCCCAGAAACACAUUUGGAACAGAAACAAGAAACAAAAAACAAUUGUUUCUCAUUUCUGAAACAGAUUUGAGAAACACAUUUCUUCUUCUUCUUUUCUUCUUCUUUUUUCUUUCUUUUUUCUUUGGCCGGUCGCCAGCUCGGCCAGGGCCGGCGACCGUCGGCGACUGGCGGUCGGGGGCCGGCGUACUCACCGGAGCAUCGCCGGCUCCCGGCGAGGCUGAGCUCGCCCAGAUCCGGCGAGCCCGACCUCGCCCAGCGGCCGGCGAGGCUCGGCGUCGCCGGGCCACCGCCAAGUCGGCUCCUGGCGGUGGCCCGGUGAGGCCGAGCCUCGUCGGCCACUGGGCGAGCCCAACAUCACGCCGGGUUGGGCGAGCUCGAGCUUGCCCAACCAAGGCGAGGCCGAGCCUCGCCUAGCUAUGGAGAGGCUCGGCCUCGUCGGGGGGCCGGCGAGCCUCGCCGUGGCUGGGCGAGGCCGCCGGCCCCUCGUCGGCCGGUCUGCCGUCCAUGGGUCGAGGCUGGCGACCGCGCCAACAGAAAAGAAAAAUGAAAAAUGGGAAAUAGAACUAGUAAAUGAAACUGUAAUAACUAUGUAAAAAAUCGUUCUUAGACUUUACCGAAGCGUGUUUUUGGUGUAAUUUUUAUUUUCCGGAACAAGUUUACCAAACGCGUUUUUUUGUUCAAAAAUUGUUCUCCGGAACAUAAACAUUUUUUUUUAUUUUUGUUCCCUGGAACAAUUUUUAAACAUAAAUGUUACCAAACGCGCCCUUAACAAGCAUAGCAAUGCUCCCGUGCUCCCGGCAGUAAUUUAAAUGAGUUAAUAAAAAAAAAAACCACUUGUUGGAUUAUUAUUUACGUGGUAUCAUGUGGAAGGUGCGUACUCUCCGCCAACUAAUUUUAAUAAACCAAUAAAAAGAAAAUAGAUUGCAAUAGCAUUUGAUGAUGAUGAUAGGAUGCACCGGAAAGGAAAAUUAGAAAAAUUUUCCUUUUUUCUUUCAUCAAUCUUUCUUUUAUCUAAAUAAAUUACUAACUCAUUCAUAUAUAUUUUCAGAUGAUGAGAAAACCCUUCCGAUUUCCAUUAUUCAUUCAAAUAAUGGAUGUUUCGUUCAUUUCCUCUAGAUAUUUUGCCUCCCAAGCAAGUAAAAAUCUAGGAGCUCACUAAUUCCAUCCAUUCUCGCUACACUUCUUGAUUCCCAAAAGAGUUUGAACCAAUGUUUAUCAUUUGUCUAGAUAACUUCUUGAUCCUCAAAAGAGUCUGGACCAAUAUUUAUCAUUUGUCUAGACAACUUACAUAAUGACAAACUUUUCUCCUCCUAGAUAUCUAGGAUUUCAAUUUUUUUUUUCUUUUCCUCGGGGAGGGAUUCACCCAUCGGCCACGCCCACCAAUUAUUAGAAGCAUCGUUAGGAAAAAAAUAAAUGCGCCCUACUAUGCGUCAAAGUUACAUUCCAUAUUCUUCCUUAAAAUAUAUUUUGUUUUAUCUUUCACAAUAUAAUUAUUAUUAAUCCAUCGAUUGUUUUUUUUUUCAUAACUAAGCACAUAACCGGUACGAUGCCGUCCUCAUAAACUACAAUGUCCAUCAUAUCAUAAUGUCUUGUUAUGUUUUUCUGUUUUUUUUUUUAUUUUCGUUCGUAAAUCGAGGUAGUGUAUUAAACAUCAUUUAAUUAUGAUGAUAUAUUUAAUAGUGUGAUUGGUCAAGGUCGUGAUAUCAUUGUAUGGUUAGUUCGUGCUACUCAAAUGCUAAUGAUAGAGACCUGUAACAAGUAGUGCUCGUGAAUUUUCUUUUAUAUAUUUUGUUAUUGAUGGAAAAUGCAAGUCCAAUCAAGUGAGCUGGAUCUCAAAUUUCCAUCGAAGCAUCACUUGCACUUGCUCAAAGCUUCAAGUCUAUGGAUUUCAUUGUUUGCAUGUUGUUGUAGGAUGUCAAUCGCAAAGUUUACUUGGGUGGGGCCAACUACAAUGUCUUGUGAGUUUGUGAAAAUGAAAAAAAAAAACAUUUGAUCAAAAUCAUCUUGUUUACGUCAUGAAAUGGAUUUAACAUAAUGUAGUAAAUAAAUUAGUUAUUAAUCGUGCUAACAAGAUUGUCAUAAUUGUCCAACUUGCCCAAGCAAGAACAAACGAAUUUUCCCGUAUUUACUAUCACUUCAUUUUUAAUUAUCUCGAUAAUAAAAAAUCCAUAAAUUGUAGAUUCUUCACAAUUGUUACUAGAUUAAAUGUGCUAACAUGCUUGUAGCUCCAUCCGAACUUGAACAUAGAGUUUCACCAUAUUCCUCUCUUUAGUAAAAUUUCCACAUCUAAUAUUCAAUCGGCAUUAAACAGUAGGAAUGAACUAGUUCUAUGCACAAAUUUGAUGAUUGUAUUACGAUUUUAUGAUAAAAUAGGUAUCUUCUUCAAAACUAUAUGUCAAUAUGCAUACCAUCAUCAUUAAACGCUACAGCAAUUUACUUUUUUUUUUCUUUAUUAAAAUUAGUUGGCAGAGAAUACGCACCGUCCACAUGAUGCCGUGGAAAUAAUGAUGCAAUGAGUGAUGUUUUUGUGAUUGACUCAUGUAUAGUGGCACCGGCGGCAUGGGAGCAUUCCUAUGCUGGUUAGUUUUCUUUUCUAUUUCUCUUAUUAGUUGGAAAAAAAAAGCAAAGCAAGUGAAGAAGCAGCAAUAUUGCAUGGUUCCACGCACCUUCUGCAUAACUGCUGUGGAAAUCACGCGUGCAUUGAUUGCCUUGUGGAAAUUAGAUCGUGGAGAAUUAAUCGUUGGUUUUCAUUUCUAUUUCCUUUAUUAGCAGAAAAAGCAAGUCAAGUCAAGAAGCAGAGAAUGGUCCCCGACACCAUCUGCAAAAUGCAGUGGAAAUUACGCGGGUAACAAUUGCCCUUUGGUUUUCUUUCCUAUUUAUCUUAUUGAUAGUAAAGGCAAGGCAGGUCAAGUAAAAUGCUGACAAUUAGUGGAGGUCACAGCGGCAGGCGAGCAGUCAUAAGCGUAAGGGGGAAAUUAUCCACCGAGCACGCCCACUAAUUACUAAGAGCACCGUCAGAAAAAAAAGAUAAUACACUUUACGAUGUGAAGAAGCAAUUGCAUUUCAUUUUCUUUCCCAAAACUUUAAUUUGUUUUAUCAUUGCUAUUUAAGCUUUGUUUCGUGCAUAUACUUAUUUAUUUCUUACAUAAGGAUACAUGUAAUUGGUAAAAUGUCAUCCUCGAGAACUACAAUGUCCACUAUAUUACCAUUUCUCAUUUUUCUUUUUCCAUUUGUACUUUGAGGUGAUAAAUUAAAAAUGUUAACAAAAACAAAUUCUACUCAGGAGUCAAGUCAAGCAUGAUGAAUCUCAAAUUUUGAUCAAAAUGUCACACAUUUGAUAGAAAUUUCAAAAUCUAUGGAUUUCAUUAUUCACAUGUUAUGGUAGUUUGUCAAUUGGAAGGUUUGGAUUAUUUAAGAUUUGCAUAAAGAUAAAUCUAAUAUGAGGCAACAACUCAAUUAGUUCUUAAUUACGCAAAUGUUGUGAUUGUCCAACUUGCCCAAUCAAUAACAAACAAACCUACCCAUAUAUACUAUCAAAUCGUUUAUUUAAUUUUCUCGAUAAUCUAAGAAUCAUUGGGAUAUAGGGUCUCAUCCGGUUCUAAUAUUUCGUAUGAUGUCUGCAUCGUUUCUUCAGUUGACCGUAAACAAUGAUGAAGUGACUCUACACACAUGAAUUUUGGUGGUCGUCUUCUGCUUUUCUGAUAAAAUGGGUCCCCCCUUCAUAACUAUACGUCAAUAUGCAUGUCAUGAUCCAUCCUGCAGAGAGAGAGAGAGAGAGAGAGAGAGAGAGAGAGCGCAUUAUCGCAAUCUGCACAAUCAGAAUUGAUUGUUGCUUUUCGGUUCUAUUUCUUUAUUCAUAAAAAAAAAAGUCAAGUCAAGUAAAAAAGCACACGUACCUUCGCCUGAUGCUGGUGUGCAAUAAUUAUCCUGUCCGCAGCACGCGACUUGGAUCGUUGGAUGGCACAUUUAUCCUACAGAGAGAGAGAGAGAGAGAGAGAGCAUUAUCAAUCUGCACAAUCGGGAGAGAGAGAGAGAGAGAGCAUUAUCGCAAUCUGCACAAUCGGGAGAGAUUGUUGCUUUUCGAUGCUAUUUCUUUAUUCACAAAAAAAAAAGCGAGUCGAGUCAAAAGGCACACGUACCUUCGCAUAAUGCUGGUGUGCAAUAAUUAUCCUGUCCGCAGCACGUGACUUGAAUUGUUGGAUGGCAACUCAGCAUUAUGUGCUCUUUUGGACGAAUCUCCUUUGAAAGAAAAAAAAAAAAAAGAGAGUAGAUUUUGGAUUGAAAAUAAUAAAUUAUCCUUAUUCGAGUAUCUAAACAAAGUGUCCUGCUGACAUUUAUGUUAAUAUGUUUUUGUAAUUGACUCAUGUCUAUUAGUACUGGCACCAUGGGACUCUUGCUGGUUAGUUUUCUUUUCUUUUUCUUUUAUUAAUAGUUAAAAAAGCAAGUCAAGUAAAAAAAACACUUGCAUAGAAUGGCCCCACGCACCUCCUACCGUGUAAUGCCGGGGUAUUAUCAAACACCAUUUUCUUUCAUUUUAAAUACUUAAAAUGGUCUGAAAUUCAGUAAUUAUUUUCCAGUUUUACUUAAAUGGGCAUGUACUCGCAGCUUAUUUUUCACAAAUGAAUUAAGUUUAGCACUGGCAAAAAAAAAAAAAAAAAAAAAACAAGUUGAGUCAAGUUGAAAAUCGAGUUCUAAUGCAAAAGGUUCGACUUGAAAUUACCAAUGCAAUCAUUUACUUUAAGCCAUCAUAAUACAAUGCUAAAUAUAUUUUAGAUCUUAACAACUUAUUUGGUUUGAUUUCUAGCUUUUUCUUGACAACAAAGUAUAGAUUAAGUACGUUAAUCCGCAUAUCAACAAAUUCUCCACUAAUGCAAAAUAUCAGGCAAGACACAAGUCUCCAAAUACGAAAGAGUUUAUGCUUACAAAUAUGAGGAACCAACACAAAUUGCAUACUUAGGCCCCAUAUACUAAUUUUUACUUUCUAUUCUCUCGCACCUCUCAUAGUCGAACUUUUGCUUAACAAAAAUUAUUUAAAAGAUUCAAAAUAUGCAGAUAUCUAUCACAAAGAUAAUUAUACGAUUAUGUUUGUAAUUUAACUUAAAGAACGUACACAGUUAAAAAUUUUCAAAUGUAAAACAUCAAUUAUAUUUUUAAGUGCAACCUAAAUAUUUAUCAAAGGGCCGCAUACCAAAAUUUUCUUUUAUUUUGAAAGAGGUAAUGCUCCUCAUUUGUCGGCAGAGAAAAAGGCCUAAAGAUGGAGCACCUCAGUUAGCGCUGUCGGGGAGCAUUUCAUAUUCCCCACCUUCUUUUUCAAAAAGCCAAAAGAAAUCGCCCCGAACGUCCAACCCGCCCAGUCGCCUCGGUCAGGGAGAACGCGGGAACUCGCUCGGACCGCGCGCCCCGUGGGCUCGAGGGGGCAAUUCGGUACAUUCCGAGUGGCCGAAGAUAUUCCCGAGAUGCGAGGUGGGGACCACACGUUGGCUUCGGUUUCUGAGCAGCUGACCGUCGUAGCGGUCGAGCAACGCGGAGAGGAGGAGCGGCGUGGGUCCGCGUGAAGAGACAACCUAAGCAGAAUCCACGAGGCAAAUUUCUACUCAGUUUUCGCGGAUAAAAGUCUUCGUUUAGUUACUUUAGGGUUUCCACCAUUGCUUAAGGCCUCAGCUUGCAUAGCAGAGUUUACUCUUACCGAUCUAGCAAAUUCAUCCAUCAAAUCUCCAUAAUUGUUUCGGCAAACACAGAUUAUCGCUCCGAUCGUUGUUCCGGACAAGAAAGUUCUAUUUAUAUUGAUUUUGAGGGUGUCUUCGCUUGGGCCAAACUAGAUCUGAGGUGAGGCUUCUUCGCCUUUUCCCAACUGUUGAAGCACUAAUUUUUCGCCAUGGUUGAACUUAUAAGGUGCUUCGGAUUUGGCUUUAGUUUGCAGAAAACAGAGUAAUUUCUUUCUUUCCAAAUACGCCAGAGGAUAGAUGCAAGGAGGCUGAAACAUGAAGAGGAUGAUUGAAUUUAAGUAGCCAUUCAUCUAUUCGACCUAGUCCAUAAGGUGAGAUCUUAAUUUGUAGUGCAGGAUCCAUCCAAAUUUGAUGUGUGCAAGGGCAAAGUAAGAAGAGGUGCUCUACCGUUUUCGGGUUCUGUUUACAUAAAUCGCAGGUACUUUCUUCCACUAUACCUCUCUUUCGUCGAUUUUCUUUUGUCGGCAAUGCGUUUUGACAAAAUCCCAAUAAGAAAAUCUUGAUUUUCAGGCUUGUCUUAGCCUUCCAAAUCUUUAUCCAAAGAGGUCUAGGGAUUUGGUGAGAGGUCGAGGUUGUGGUGUUAUUGUUUUGUUCUUCCUUCUCUUUGAUUCUAUUAUACCCACUUUUAAGAAGUAUAGUCUCCUGUGCUUUUGUUUGUCCAACAUAAUUUAUCCUUCUUUGCCUGGGAACCAAUGGGAUAUUUAGAAUUUCGUUAGCUGUGUGCUCAUCGAACAGAGUUCCAAUAAAUUGUUCAUUCCAAGCUGGGACAUCUCUCUGAAUAAGCUCAGAGACCUUUUUUGGUUCAUCCCUAUUUGUGGGUCUUCCUAUAACUCCUCUGGGAAGCCAUUUUGUCUCUCUAAUAUUAAUCUGUUCCCCGUUCCAUGCUAUCCAUUUUACUGAAGGAAGAAUCUCGUCUUUGCUCAUUAGAAGAUUUUGUUUGCCCCAUAAAAGUGGAUACCCCUUUGCAGCUGACCAAAUUUUAGAAUGAGGGAAUUAUAGACCUUUUAGUAAUUGGCACCAUAGUGAUGAAGGAUUUUGCAUCAUAUGCCAUGCUUGUUUACCGAGCAUGGCUUUGUUGAAGGCAAUUAAAUUUCAAAAUCCCAAACCUCCAUUGUCUUUCCUAUUCUUAAGAAUGUGCCACUUCUUCCAGUGUAUUCCAGAUUUUUGUUCAUCAGUAUUCCGCCAGAAGCUUGCGACUUUCUUUUCAAUACUUCAACAAUUAAAAACUAGAACUUUAAAAACUGACAUUGCAUAUUGUGGAAGAGCCUGCACUACUACUUUGAAUGAGAACUUCUUUUCCAACCCUAGACAUAAGUUUUUCCUCCCCCCUUUUAGUUUCAUGUUUACCCUAGCUAAUAUCCAAGCGAACAUUUCAAUUUUUGUUUCACCCCAAUCACAAGGAAUUUCUAAAUACUUCCCGGUUUUAGCAAUUUCUGGGACCCCCAAUUCAGCUGGCAUAUUUUGGCAGAGUGUAAAAGGACAUUUUUGCGGAAGGAUAACCCUGAUUUGUUUAAGUUUAUAGCCUGGCCUGAAGCAAAACAGUAGCUCUUCAAAAUCUUAGCCACGGCUUUGACAUUCUUUUAUAGUCCCAUCCAAGAAAAAGAUUGAAUCAUCUGCAAAGAGAAGGUGGGUUAGUGUAGGACAAUGCUUGUUCAGCUAAAUGCCUUUAAUAGUGCCUUGCUUUGAAGCUUGUUUCAAUAAUACCGAGAACAUAUUUGUCACUAUAAUAAAAAAGAUAUGGCGAUAGUGGAUCACCUUGUCGUAGACCUCUUGAAGGUUGAAAGUAAUGAAGUGGUUCUCCAUUGAAAUUUAUAUUGAAAGAAACGGUGGCAACACAUUACAUUACCUAGGUCACCUAUUAGCAUGAAAACCCAUUUUUAUUAUACAAGCUUUCAAGAAGUCUCAUUCAAUUUUGUCGUAUGUCUUUCGCAUGUCCAAUUUUAGUACAGCUUGUAACUUCCACUUUCUAUUUCUGAUUUUGAGCUGGUGUAAUACUUCCUAGACUAUUAAAAUAUUGUCCCAGAUAAGUCGGCCACUGACAAAUGUAUUUUGUUCUAGUAAGAUGAGAACUCUCAACCACUUCUUCAGUCUAUUUGCUAAGAUUAUUGAGAUGAUCUUGUAUGAAAAGUUGCAUAAACUAAUGGGGAGAUAUUUGACCAAACUCUCGGGAUGGUCUUGUAUGCUCUUGUGAUUGACCCGUGUAUUUUCGCACCGGGAGCAUGGGAGCAUUGCUACACUGGUUAAUUUUCUUUUCUAUUUCUCUUAUUAAUGGGAAAAAAUAGAAGAAGCAAAGACAAGUCAAAAAGCACCAGCAUAGGGGUGGUUCCACGCACCUUCUGCAAACUGCCGUGGAAAUUACAUGUGCAUUGAUUGCCCUGUGCAAACUAAGCGAUGGAGAAUAUAGUUAUGGUAUUUUGUUUUAUAAAUAAUUUCUAUUUAGAAAUAAUUUUUUUAUUCUGUUCCUUUGAUGAGUUUCUAAGCAUUUGAAAUAUAUGGUAAUUGCACAAAAUUUCUAAUUUUGAAAUAGAAGAAGAAUAAAAAUGAGUUUGAUAUAAUCCUCAAUUUUUUUUGUGCCAUAGAAUUUGUUUUAAUUUUUUAAUAACUUUAUGAGAUCUUUUCUUUUUCUUUCUUUUCUUUUUCCUUCUCUUAUUCUUCUUCUUCCUUCUCUAGUCGGUCCCCCGCCUUUGAUGAGGUCUGAGCCUUGCCCAGCCAUGGCAAGGCUAAGCUCGCCUCGACGAGGCUGACCAUUUCUUUGGCUGGUUGCUGGGCUAGAGGAGGAGGAAGAAGAAAAGAAAAGAAAAUAAAAAAAACAAAAUUACUUGAUUCUAGAAUUAUUCCUAAAAACAAAAAAAUAAUCUCUUUUUAUUUGUCGAUUUUAUUCAAAAUUUAUUCUUAGAAAUAAAUUUAUUUUCGGGAGUAUAAAAAUUAAUUGAUAUUAUCAAAAUAAUUUUUAUUUUUAUUUAAAAAAAAUCAAAGAACAAAAUUCGCUAAGAAUUACCGCUUAUCAAUCGGUCCAUACUGACUUUUUUUUUGGUCGAAGGUCCUUACUAACUUGAAGCAUGAUAAUUGAUUGUUGAUUGUCGUUUCUAUUUCUAAACACUAGCAUCAUGGCACCCUUGAAAACUCAUCUACAAUUAAGUCCAGAACUACUAGAACUCAUUUAUUCCGAACUCCAUCCCUUCCCUCUUGCAAUGCCACAGGGAGGAGGGAAGGAAUACUUGCCUAGAUCCAUAUCUAAUGGACUACAUUCAUUAUAACAGUUAAUUAUGUGGAUCUCAUGUGGGCACUAUAUAGGAGACUAAUAUGAUUGAAUUAAUUUCUUUUAAACUUUAACCCUUCUCUACAAUGUUAGGAUUGCUUAUAUCAUCAGAUUAGGUCGAAUAUAAAGGAUUAUUUUACAUUAUUAAUGAAAUUGAAAGAGAUUUCUUUUCUUGGGAUAAUGACGGCUUGUGUUUUGCUUGAUGAGUAAUUGAGUACUUGAAUUUUUUUCUUUGAUCAAGCAUUUCAAUUUCUUAAUUUUGGGUUCGACGUAGUAUCUCCAUUAUUAUUGCUCUAUUUCUCCCCACUUUUUAUCUUCUCCGGCAAGUCCAUAUCACGUUCCCAUCCCAAGUCUCUCUCUCUCUCUCUCCCUCUCCACUUUUCUUCUUCCCAAAAAAUCCACCAUUUUUAAUGAAUUGAAUUUUUUUCGACCAAAAAAAGAAAGUGCAUUGAAAAUUUAACAUCACUUGUCUAUUUAUCUCUGGUUUUAUUUCUUUUCAUUUCUUCUGCAUUGAAAUUUCCUCGCAUAUUUUCUUCUUCUUGGACAGGUAUCGCGUUGGAUUUUCUUGGGCGUUGAGAUUUCCGCUUUGUGAAGACACGACUCUAAGCACGUGGUAACUGUUCCCAGUGCAUCAAUUACUAAUUUACAUAUACCUCAACCAGUUUGACACAUUGGUGCGAUUCUGAUUGCCGAUUGGUUCGAUUAUAUAACUCAAACCAAUAAAGAGGAGUGGGCAACAAGGCAUUUCGUGUUUCCUGAGAAGCAUUCUGGUUUUUCCUCUGUCAACAGUUGAAAGCAAACAGUAAGGGCAGAGUCAGAGCAAAGACGAAAUGCUUCGUCCCAUUUUUGAGCAUUCUUUCGCCGUGCUCGUGGCACUCGUCCUUCUCUCCGUCCUUGCGUUCUAUUUUCUGAACAAGAAGAAAACCGGCGUGCGUAAAAAUGUAAAAGAUGCUGACGCUGCCACAUCUGGUUCGUUGACCACGUCGACUGGAAACUACUACGAGGUGUUCUUGAACUUUAGAGGCCGAGAUACUCGAAGAGGCUUCACCAAUCACCUCUACAAUGGGCUUGUUGAUGCUGGAAUUUCUGUUUUCAAAGAUGAUAACGAGCUCCGCCAAGGCGAGAAGAUCGGACCAGACCUUUUGACAGCCAUUAGGAACAGUAAGAUCCUAAUCCCCAUUAUCUCCGUUAAUUAUGGGCAGAGCAGGUGGUGCUUGGAUGAACUAGUUCAAAUAAUGGAGUGCAAGAAGAGUAACAUGGGUUAUACCGUGUUGCCCAUAUUCUACAAAGUGGAACCAUCUCAAGUGCGAUAUCAAAAAGGGAGCUUUGGAAAGGCAUUUCGUACCCGCAGUAAGUAUUUCGACUCAACGACUAUGGAGAAAUGGAAGCAAGCACUCGAGGAAGUUAGUUCCUUGAAAGGAUUUGAUGCCAAUGGGUAAAAUUUUUUCACCAAAACAUUCUCUACUUUCUUUUAGUUUGCGUGGAUGUUUACUAGUUGUUCUAAUUCCUACUUGCUUCAUUUCUUUCUUUUAGUUUUUUAUUAUUAAAUAAAAUAAAGAAAAAGCAGUAAGAUCUUGCGAUGCAUGAGUUCCAUAAGUCAUUCUGUUUCAAGAAUUACUUUAAUGGUAUCAACAAAUAUUGUCGUAGAAUUUAUGGUUAUCAUCCCACUAGCUUGAACAAUAUAGAAUUUUUAAUUGACUUAUUACUGUUAUGUCCAACGACUUUUUAGGAUCGUGCCUUCUUUCAUGUUUAGGGCGUAAGCUUUCAUUACUCUUCAUCACAAAAUUUCCUAAUUACAUAUUUAUUUUAAGAUUAAGCUCAUCAAAUCAUAUACCACGCAUGUUGAAUUAAAUCAUUAUUGUCGUUAAUUUGUUGCUACUAAAAUUAGUUUUACAAAAGAAAUAUUUCAUUGGUUAUGUAGUAUGAUGGUAAAUUUAAAAAGGAAAAAAAUUAUAUUUAUUAUAUGUUUUUUUAGAUAAUUUUCAAUGCAUUUUCCUAUCUUAUAAUUUCUAUGUCAUAUGCCUGCAUAAAUUGAUUAAUUAAAAUCAUAUAAAAUAUACACUUAAGAGAAAAAUAAAGUACGACCUGUUAUCAUCCCUUGAUGCAAAGAAAAUUUAUAAGAACACAAAUCUAGAGUGAUAUUAAAUUCAGAGUAAGAGUAGAAACUUACAAGCGUGUAGAAUUGCAUAGAUAAGAGAAACACCCUCAAAUUCAGGUAGUCAUAAUAUAGAACUCUAACGACUUUCAUGAUGGGAAUUCCUCUUGCAUCAAAAGUUAUGACUUAGUUAUUGGUUGAUGGUUGAACUCUCAUAUCAGGUUGAUUUAUUGGAUUUUUUCUUAUUCAACCACUCUAGAAAAUUUUCAAUGUCAUGUAAACAUCAUCUCCAUUAUCUGUAACAGACAACAUUUAAAAUUUAAUUUAAAUCUAUAAUUCAUGUAAUAUUCAAGAUUCAUUAGCGAUACCCUUAAGUUUCUUCUGGUUCAACAAAUUAUGUAAGAGUAAUAAUGAAAUGGGGCACGCCAUGUGAAGCAACCACCACCAUUCCCUGCCUUUAUCUUAGCGUAUAAGAUAAUAUAUGGAGGUGGUGGCAAAAAAAAUCUUUAAGUUUUCCAUUUUAUUCUCCAAUUUAUUUAUUAUUGUCCUAUCAUUAAUUAAACAAUACAAAAUCGCUAUUUGCCAUGCAUUUGAACUCUUAUCACAUUUGACAGGUACGAAGGAGAAUUGGUAAAAUCAGUUGUACAACAAGUGUUAUUCGAGCUGAAGAAAAAGUUUGAGUUGCUUAUUCCAAAGAAUUUGGUCGGCAUUGAUUGUCAAGUGAAAAAGGUUAUGAAAUUUGUAGAUGAUAUUUCUAGUGCCUCCCUAUUUGUUGGCAUCCACGGAAUGGGAGGCAUUGGUAAGACUACUCUUGCUAAAAUCAUCUACAACAAGCUUUCCAAUCAAUUUAAGCAUCAUAGCUUCAUUGCUGAUGUAAGGGAACGAUGUGAUGAUAGAAGACUUGUGUACUUGCAAAAUCAGUUAAUCAAGGAUAUAUUGAAGCUAGAAAAUCAAGUUUCUAGUAAUGAUGAAGGGAUUCGGUUCAUUUCAUCCAAGUUUAAUGGUAAGAAAGUCCUUAUUCUUCUCGAUGAUGUGAGCAAUGACGAUCAAUUGAAGGCUUUGGCCGGAAAUCAUAAUUGGUUUUCUUCGGGAAGUGUGAUCAUCAUUACCACCCGAAACAAAAGUAUUCUUGACAAUGCUGGGGUGGACAAUCGGUAUGCACUUGAGCAAUUGGAUAAGGAUAACUCUUUGAUUUUGUUUAGUAGACAUGCUUUUCGAAGGGACUCUCCUCCAAGUGAAUUUGAGGACCUCACUCGUGAUGUUGUUUCCACCACUGGAGGGCUUCCCUUAUCUCUUGAGGUCUUAGGUUCGUUUUUGUGUGGAAAAAGUAGAAAACUAUGGGGAGAGGCGAUAAAGAAGUUAAGAAAAGUUCCUCAUGAGAGAGUGCAACAAAAGUUAAGGAUAAGUUACGACGAAUUAACCCAUGAACAAAAACAAAUUUUUUUGGAUAUUGCUUGUUUUUUCAUUAACACUGAUAAGAUAAUCGCAUCCUACAUGUGGGAUGCAUGUGACUUUUUCCCGGAGCAAGGAAUUGAAGUAUUGAGAUUUCUGUCUUUAAUAAAAGUUGGAGAUGACCAUAAGCUCUUAAUGCAUGACCAGUUAAGAGAUCUUGGUAGGGAAAUCAUCCGGGAGGAAAACUAUUCGGAGCCUUGGAACCGUAGCAGGUUAUGGGACUCUAAGGAUGUCUUGGAAGUGCUCGAAGGAAAUAAGGUAUUCGUUUCUUUUCUUCUGCUCCCUUAGUCCAUGUUGUAUUGUCAAGGUGACAUUGGUCCUCCACUUAGUGCUUGCUCUAGUGAAUAGAGAACCUUCCAAUAUUGUUCUCCUCGUGUCAUUUCGUUGACAUGGUUAGAAAGCAGAAAAUUGCUCUCUUAGUAAGUAUAGCAGUUUAUCAAAGAUUUUUCUUACACAAUUGUACAUUACGAAGGGUUUUCCAAGAAUGAGGUACUUUUGAAUUCAUUAGAUACUUGAUUGGGUAUUCUACAUUGAAAAAAUCUGAAUUUAUUUAAUUGUUUGGGUUAGGUCCUUGGCACGUGCAACAGAUAACUUGACUAUACUAUUGUGAACAAUAACUACUUAGGAUAUAUAAAACAUAGAAUCCUAAUCUCCAGGUGUUAGAAUUCAUACAAUUGGAGUAAUUGUGCCGGCAUUUUUUAUGAAAUUUCAAUCAUUAUACCUUAAUCGAGAACGUAAAGUUUGUUUUUUUUUUAAUUUUUAAUUUUUAUGUUAUGUUAGUUUAGGAAUUACUAAUUUACCAAAAUUCACAUGAUAGAACAGAAACAUAUGUAGACAUACAUAACGAUAACGUCGAGUGUACUUCCUGCAAUGACCAUUAAAAAGAGAAAGAUCUCUUUUUUUCCGCAUAAAAAGUCCAAGAGAUAAAUACCCUAUUCUAUUUUGUAUAUAAUUAAGUAUGUGAUUGUGUUACAUUUGUGAAAUUAAUUAUAGUUUUGACUUAAUUACUUUGAAUUCAUCAUCCAGUUUGAUUCAAAAUUGUUGCUCAAAAGGCCAGCACUUGUUUGCGUUUUUCAACGCGCAACCUACUUAUAAUCGCAAAGAGCCAAUUGAUAGUCUUAGCAACGUCAAGGCUAAUGUUUAUUUAUUACGUCUUUUGUAUUACAUCAUAAAAUACUCCGUUCGUUUUACGUAAAAUGGAUCAUUUUCGGAAAAUAUUUUUCCAGAAGUCAUUUUCCAGAAAAAUAACAAUAUUUUCUGGUGUUCGAUAAGGAAAAUAUUUUCCGCUCCCAAGAUUGGUGAGCAUGAGCGUCAAGCUCGAGGCUUGCCAAGAAAGAAGAAGAUGGGAAAUAAAGAAAAGAAAAAAAAGAAAAAGAAAAAGAAAAAGAAAAUUAAAAACAAUUUGAAUUAAAAAAGAAAAAGAAAACUAAAAAAUAAUUCGAAUAAAAAAAGAAAAGAAGAAGAAGAAAGGGGAGGAGAAAGUGAGGAUUUGUAGAUGUGUAAGAUAAGAGAGAUUAAGUGAGGAAAAUGUUUUUCAUUUUUCAAAAGUGAAAAACAUUUUCCCCUACUUUACCACUCACUGCGGUGGCGUAGUUGGCUUGAGCUUUGUGUCUCCCACGAAAGGUGCCAAGUUUGAAUCCCAGCUGCGUUACUUGGUGACUUAACCGCUGGCGUGAGUGUGGUGGCCAGCUUGCGUCAGCCCCAGCCCCGGGUUAUUCCCGCCGACUAUCGGCUUUCGGGGUUUCCCGAGUUACAAAAAAAAAAAAACAUUUUCCCCUACUUUAGAAGACUUUUUUCCUUUGAUCGAAAACAUUUUCCUUAAGGAAUUUAUUUUUCGUGAAACGAAUGUCGGAAAAUCCGGAAAAUGUUUUAUUGGAAAUUAUUUUCCGUGAAACGAACGGAGCUAACCAAAAGAAAAAAAGUAUAUUUUAUAUCUAAACAAAUUAAUGAUAUGUUUUGACAGUACUUUUAUAAUAUUAUUUGAGAGCUAUGUAUUCUCAACAAAAUAAUAAUCAACAAACAUGUUUAACUAAAUUAAUAUUUUUUAACAUGAUACUUAUUAAACUUGGGAAGUUUACAUUUGAGUGAUGAAAUAACUUUUCAGUUACAACAUUUUUAGAUAUUUAUAGAAGAAUGAUAAUUAGUAAUAAAACUAAACAAUUUCACAACCAUAUGCUUGCACAGAAGUGAUAUUAACAUAAUAUAAUUAUUCUUCAUGUCCGGUCUAUCUCUUAGCAAGAUCUUAUUAAUUUAUGGGCAAAAUUGAUCAUAAAAUUAUAUAAUUGCUAUUUCUUUGUAACAAAAUCAACACGAAAUGAAAAGUUAGCAUCAAACAUAUAUAGUAAUGACGAGAUAUGAAAAUCAUUUAUAUAACUUUUGAUAUGUUUCUCCCACAUACAAUAAAAACCACUUGUUGAGGAAACACAUGAUAAGAAAGGAAUGUAAAACAUGCGCGUACUUCUUGGGAUGGAAUUCCCAUUUUCAUUUUGCUAUUGAGAAUUGUAAACAAGGUACAACAGAAAAAGAGGGGAACUCUACAAUUGGGAUUCUUUAGUGCUGUUACAUGCUUUGAUGGUAACUUUGAUAUAUGCAUUUGAAGUUUUGAGCCGUAAGAGACAUGUUGUUUCACAUAUAAAGGAUAUGAGUUAGUUUCUUAUUUCCCAUAUAAAGGGCAUGCGAUUUUGAAGUGGUGUGUGCAUAUAUUAAUUUUGAAAGGGUGAGACUUUUGGGAAUUGAAAAGCUGCAAAUUGUGAAGGGCAUAAUUGGAAGAGGAAAAGUUUGGGAAGACCCUCUAGAGCUUCACAUUUUUACAUAAAUUACCACAACCUGUCAUGUCAUGAAAUCGAAAGUGAGAAGCCUAAGUCAUGAUAGUACGUCAACAAAUUUGAAAUCAAUACAUUUUUUUCUCAUAUACAGUUGCUUUCAACCCAUUAUUCAAAACAACGAUUUACAAUGUUGCCUAAUUGCAGGGCACUAGUAAAAUUGAGGCCCUUCGUCUUGACUUAGAUAAUGGGAGAGAAAGUUACACAGCUGAAACAUUUAAAGAAUUGACCAAAUUGAGGAUACUUCAACUGGAAGGUGUGAAUCUCACUGGACAUUUUCAGAACUUGUUUCCUCAACUAAGAUUGCUUGAGUGGAUGGAUCAUCAACUGGAUUUUGAAUUGACCAACUUUCACCUGAAGAAAUUAGUCGUGUUCGAUUUGUCGUGGAGCAAGAUUUCGAAGAACUGGGGAGGAUGGAGUCAACUAAAGGUAAAAUGUAGAGAAUGCAUAUCUCUUACAAAUAAUCACGUGUUGUCGAUGGGCCCAAUUGCACCAAGUUAUCGUUUAUUUCUUUUGAAAAUAUAUAUUAUGGAUUUUCUUCUAAGCAUAAGAGGAAUUUAUAGGCACCUAAAUAUGUCAAAAGCUUCUACCCCUUAAUAUUUUAGUAAACUAGUCAUGCUUAACAUCAUACCUACUAAUAAAAACUUUUUUAAUCGUAUUAAUGAAACAUCUAUCAAAAAUAUAAUUACAAUAAUGUGCCCAUGUUAAUUUUAAUCUAAAUGGUUUAUGGCUUCUAGUUAAUUUCUCCCCAUGCAAAAGUAUGUCUUUUUAGCAAUUCUUGUUAUAUGUAUGUAUGUAUCUUCUUUCAUAAAAAUGCAAAGACCCUCACAGUGACUUGUGUUUUACAUACAUACUAAAAUUCUAAAUUCAUUGUUACUUUUAAAGUAAUGGAAAUAAUUUGUGAACUGCUUUGACUUGUUGCGCACAAUAAUUAUUCAUUAUUAUUGUUGAUUGUUGAAGUCACCGUACAACACAUUUAUAAAGUAGUAAUGUCAUAUGAGUAACACAACACUUUUUUAUGGCUUGUACAUAUAGCAUUUAAAAAUUGUUUUUCUUAAUUAAAGUAGCCAUUUCUCUUUAAUUUCAUACUAAUUGAAGGAAAGCACCAAAUGAAUGCAUCUCAUUUCUUCCAUUUGACUUUGUCAUAUUAAUUUGAUAAUAAAAUUUGUGUAUCUCUAUUCAAUAAAUAACAACAUAGUCAUAACUUUGAAAAACUAAACAUGACAUUUUCUAAGAAAUUUUAUUUGCGAAAAAUUGUAGAUAGCACUCAUACAUCCCUAACAUUCUCUUCGCAAUGAUAUGCUUAAAAACAUUUAUAUGCUAGCUUCGCGAAUACACUAUUGAAAGAAAACAUUUAAAAUUAAAUAAGAUAGUUGUGUAAGUGUGGGGAGAAUGGGAUUUUUUUUUUAUCCAAUCUCAAAGUGGUAACCUCUUUCUUUCAGAUAGCAACCGAGCUCAAGGUUCUCAACCUUACGAAUUGUGCUUUGAGAACAAUUCCCGACUUGUCCGCUUUCAAGAGUUUGGAGAUUUUGAUACUUGAAGCUUGCGAGGAUCUAGAAGAGAUUCAUCCUUCUAUUGAGGACAUCAAGACUCUUGUCUCCUUGAAUGUCAGUAAUUGUUUGGAGCUAAAGGAGCUACCACUAGGAGUAGGUAGAAUGGAAAAUUUGAGCAAGCUUCUCAUAGAUAACACUAAUAUACGAGAAAUUCCUAUUUCAAGAGGUUGUUUGACAAAGCUGGAGACUUUACAUGCCUCAGAUUGUAGACGGCUUGCUCGACUUCCAGAAUCCUGGGGCUCCCUUAUGUCGUUAACUCAACUAGACCUAAAAAAAACAGAAAUUGAAGAAUUACCUGAAUCCAUUGGAUCAUUAAAGAAGCUCAAGACUCUAAAUACCUCUUAUUGUGCAUCGUUAACCUGCCUACCCAACUCAAUAGGCGAUUUAGCAUCUCUAUGUUGCCUUGACCUAAGCAAUUGCCAAAAGCUUGCUCAACUUCCAGACUCCAUAGGCUCCCUUGUGUCUCUAUCGCAAUUGUUGUUGUCGAGAUGCCACUCGUUGAGACAAAUCCCAUGCUCGAUUGGAAAGUUGACAUCAUUGACUGAGCUGCAUUUGCAAUCUACGGCCAUUGAAGAAUUACCUGAAUCCAUUGGUUCAUUGAAGGAGCUCAAGACUCUAGAUGUCUCUUAUUGCACAUCGUUAGCUCGCAUACCCAACUCGAUAGGCAAGUCAAUAUCUCUAUCUCGCCUUGACCUAACAGGAUGCCAUAAACUUGCUCAAUUUCCAGACUUUAUAGGCUCCCUUGUAUCUCUACAGCAGUUAUUAUUGUCGGGAUGCCAUUUGUUGAGACAAAUCCCAGACUCGAUUGGAAAGUUGACAUCAUUGACAGAGCUGCAUUUGAAAGUUAAAGAUAUUGAAAGAUUACCUAAAUCCAUUAGUCUUUUAAGGAGCUCAAGACUCUAGAUGACUCUAAUCAUGCAUCGUUAGCCUAUAGACCCAUUUCAAUAGGCAAUUCAACGUCUCUGUCUUGUCUUGUCCUAACAGAAUGCCAUAAGAUUGCUCAACUUCCAGACU